rnacentral:lncRNA from 1 species
CUGAGCGCGUCAUAUUCUUUGUGACUGAAUCGGUCACGCCGUUGCAUCAGUUGCAGCUGCACAAGAACUGUAUGAUAAAAAGAACACACAAGGCUAUAAUUUUCUUUCGUUUCUUGAUCAGGUUGGAGCUGCUGAAUCUUCUGCUACCUGUAGUGCAUUGAAGACAAGGAUGGCGUUACACAAUGUCUAUAAAUACUGUGCUGUGGUUGGUGAAUAGUUAGGAUAAUGAUAUGUGGAGAUCGCUGGACUGCUGCCUUUCUCAUUAAGUAGAUGGAGACAUCAGAUCAGAAGUGCCGUUGGAAGUUGUAACAGAUGCUGGUAGUAAUGUGAAUGUGUGUAAAUUAAUUUGAUUUUCCAUGAAAGACUGUAGUACUGAGAAGUUGGUCCAUGAAAGAGAGUGUUUUCAGGGCUGCCAAUCUUCACGGCAUUGAUUCACAGUGUUUACACUCGUCUCAAUCAUUCAUGCGAUUGGUGAGUGGGCUUGACAAAUCAGCUUGCUUGAAACCUUCAGCAGGUCCUGAUGUUUGGUCAACUUACUGAAAGAGUGCUUUCAUCAGCAGUCUCCGGCGGUCGAAAGCGUGAUUAUCGUUGGCUUGCUGUAGUAGGGACAAAAAAAAUCGAGCCGUAGAACAGAUACAGAACUCAUCUAUAUAAAUAUACGCAUGCAAAUUCUACCGUAUAAGUCCAUAUAAAUAUACGCAUGCAAAUUCUACCCUAUAAGCUCAUACGAGAGACUGAGCCGAUAGAUUUUUAUAUUGACGAUGUGGUCAGUGAGUAGGCUUACCAAUCAGCAUAAUUCUAACGAUGAAAGGAGACUGUAGCCUUUAAAGAAAGAGUGCUAUCACCGUCAGUUGAUGCAGGUGUAUCUAGAAACAAGAGCGAUUUAUCACGCUGAACCUGUAGCUACAGGCAGGUCCUGUUAUUUCUGUGAAAUUAAUAUUUAGCAAUGCAUUGGGGUUUGUUGACUCUGGAAACCUUCCUGACUUCAGCAAUCCGUUCAAUCGCACAUUCUCUCGUAUAACUCCAAUUUUCUCUACUAUGGCUUGCACUCCACAAAAUGAUGUUUUUAUUCGAGUUAUUUUUAUUUUUUUGUAUAUUAAUGCGAAUCAGUAUAUAUGUUUGAUGUUUCUACAUGCGUGUUCAUCUGGAGUAUAGUACAAGCUAGUCAAAGCUGCAAUUUGCCACGUAUUUACCCACUUCCAGUCAAGCUAACUUUUUUCCUCUGAACUUGACUGAUAUGAAAUCUUUUACAGGGGCAUACAUAGUCCAUGUUGAUCCCUCGUCUCUGACAGUGACGACUGACGAGUGGCUUUAGUAGGUUGAGCCCCAAUGGGUUAUCCAAUAGGUUGAUCCCUCGUAACCUUGAUGCAAUAUGUUUUCAUUGAUUAUUCGAUUUGCUAGCUCUAUCCCGUGGCCAUGGAUUAUAGAGGCAUACUCUACUUUUCCUUUUUUUUUCCAAACAGGGCAUGGAUGUACUCCCAAGGUUUAUUCUUGUAGACGUACAGAGAUUUAAAAUUGUAUCCUAUUCAUUUGGUAGUGACAUGCACACAUCGUACACGAUACUUUGUUCAUAAUUUGGUGAGGUCGACAUCUUCAACGAUUCUGUGGAAAACAUCAAGUCCAGUUGAGCCAAGGUCAAGUGGUCAACCGGAGCAAGAUGUUGCUUCUAACUACUGUUGUAAACAAUGCAAUAAUACGAGCAAAAAAAAUUCCAACAAUCACAAAAUGAGAAGUACACAUGUAUUCUUCCAACAUGAUUUCACUAGUAUUGAACAAGAGUACACUACCAUGUUGCAGUACAGGUGUAUAACCAAAUCUGGAUAUAAUAGUUUAGUUUAAACUUUAAACAUAGCUCUCAGUGCUACCUGACCCUUGCUUAUUCACAAUCAGACACUACCUUACUAAGGGGGUGUUUGGAUACAAGGUGCUAAACUUUAACAGUGUCACAUCGGAUGUUCGGAUGCUAAUUAGGAAAACUAAAUAUGAGCUAAUUAUAAAACUAAUUGCAGAACCCUGUGUUAAUUUGCGAGAUGAAUCUAUUAAGCCUAAUUAAUCCAUCAUUAGCAAAUGGUUACUGUAGCACCACAUUGUCAAAUCAUGAACUAAUUAGGCUUAAUAGAUUCGUCUCGCGAAUUACACUUCAUCUGUGUAAUUAGUUUUGUAAUUAGCCUAUGUUUAAUACUCCUAAUUAGCAUCUAAACAUCCGAUGUGACGGGUGUUAAAUUUUAACACCCCAGAGCCAAACAGGCCCUAACUCGGUACAACUACAACUAGUUAAAGGCCCUGAAGACUAUGCAAGAGCAUACACAGAUGCUACUUAUCAAAACAAAGCAAUAGACACAGAAAGUGUAAAGCUACCACUGAAUAAUUCAAUGGCUUGAAAUGACAUGAGUCUCUCGAUCAGACCAACCAAUAUAUCACAAGGUGCUAAUACACAAGUAAAGCAAUAUACAAUUAACCACAACAUUGUGGCACAAAACAACAAGGUUUAAACUAAUCUUCACAGGAAAUUGCCCAAUUUUGUAAUGGUCUGGCUGCACUGAGCUUUUAUCAUAACAGAGCAAACAAGUAGUCCAGGUGAUGAAAACUCACAGCGCAAUACAUCGGAAGUUCCUAGGAAAAAAAACUUUUGGAAGUCCUAUCGGUAUGUUUGGUUGGAGGUAAUUGGUGGGAGAGAAAUGGAAUUUAGAGAUGAGAGAUUAAAAUUCUAUUGUUUGUUUAGACGGUACGGGAGUUUUAGUGGAAUGAAGAAUAAGAGGUUAGAUGAGCAAUUCCCACCAAUCACUUCCUAGGUGAGGGUGAGAAUUAUUUUAGAUGGAAGAUGGAUGCAUAUGCACCGUUAAUCAUGACUUCAGAUAUAAUUUCUUACCUCUAAACUCCCACUCUUAAUUUUCUCAAAAAAACAAACAAGAUAAUCGUACUAAGGAUCAUACUCCUAAGUGAAUUCUCUUCGCCAAUUCUCACCGCUAAUUUCCAUGCCUCAUCUCAUUAGUUGUGAGCGGGAAAAAAAUUGACCCAUAGGAUUGCCGCGUGGACAGGACGUGAGCACAUCGAUUUCUUGCAUAGGCACGACUGAAGCCCAAAAUACUGGUGUGGCGGGACAUUGACGUUGCACAUGACGGUAACCACAAGGCAAGGCAACUGGGGAAUUUUUUUAUUUUUAUAUUAUUUUUUUCGAUUUUGCAGAAAUAUAUAGUCGGAUGUAAAAAUCUGGACUGUUGCCGCCGGCCCAGGCGGUGGAAGGGCCUUACUGCCGCCUCAACCGGCGGUAAGGCCCCCCACCAACGGUCAGCAGCCGGCGUAACUGCGGGUGCGUGAGUCGAGGUGUUACCACUGCCCUAGGCGGCGGUAAGGCCCUUACCGCCGGCUGAGCCGGCGACAGUCGCCCUUUAUAACCCGUGUUGGAGGUAUGCUCUAGAGGCAAUCAUAGAGAUGAUGAUGUUCCAUUUGUAUCCAUGAUUUAUAUUGUGUUCCUUGAAUAUCCAUUAAAGGCUACUUGAAUUGAUUUGCAAUUAUGUGAAUUGUAUGUAAAACUCUUUACUUGUAUGGUUAUUCUAAUGUUGUCCCUAGUCGGAGUUCAUGUGAGGACACACAUGAAUAUUAGACUAGCACAUGUAUUAGUUGAUGACUAUGUUUCACGAGUCAUAGACAUGGAGAUGUUGAACUAAUAAUGUGGGCACAUGUGGAGACAUGUGCUAGGACUGACCCAACACGAGAAGUAGUUCUCUCUUUACACAACAUAUACCUUUGUCCUUAUACCUGAGAUUGUCGCAUGUACUCAAGAUGUGGAUCGACUUACUUAGGGGCUAUCAAACGCUACGCCGUAACAGGGUAGUUAUAAAGGUAGAUUUCGGGUUUGUCAAGAAGCAUGCUAUGAGACAUGGUCAAUCAAGGUGGGAUUUGCCCCUCUCUAAUUGACAGUGAUAUCUCUGCGCCCCUUGAGUGAUCGGAUCCGAAAAUGCAUGGCCAUGCUACGUACGGUUAAGAGUUAACCUACAAAGGGAUUCCGAAUCAUAGGAUCGAGAAAGAGCGGUCGGCUUGAAGCUAGACCAAAUAUCGUGAGGCAAAGAGAAUAGCAUAUAUAUAAUGUUGUGAUGGUUCGUCUGAUAUGAUCUUCGUGUGCGUAUAGGAGUUGGCACGUCUUGCUAGAGGCCGCUACCGACUGUUGGGCCGAGUAGGAGUACUCGGGCCAUGUCUAUAUGUAUCCGAACCUAUAGGGUCACACACUUAAGGGGCUGGAAGCCCAAUUCGGAUGUGAUCCGAGUUGGAUUAGGUUUAAGAGUACUAAUGGGCCUCGGACCUAGAGGCCCGUUAGGAACCUCUAUAAAUAGAGGGGUGGGGGCACCCUAGGGUUUACACCUUUGUUGGCGCUAGAAAUCAGCCGAUUGAACUUCCAGCGUCGGACACACGACCCGGGAGAAUCUACUUAAAUCCUGUUCAGGUGGUCACCCUGGUGCGGUUCGCGCGGCAUGCCAGCCAAUCUGACCUGUCGAUUGGCAAGGAAAGAAACGUGUCAUAUCCCAGAGGUUGCGAUCGGCUAAGGUUCCGAUCUCGAGGGAGCUUAUCAGCGAAUCGGCCGAUUUGCUGUAAUAAAAAAAUCGCUAUAAUACAGCCGAUUACCGGGCAACAUUGGUGAAGAAAACUACUAGAGUAAAAUGAACAAUGCUACAGUAGCAACACUAGGAACAGAUUUUAAUCGGCUAUGCAAGAAGUGGUAAAUUAAGCAAAAAUAUAAGUGAGCCGAAAGCUCUAAUUCCAAGCUGGAUAACUGGUGAUAAAACUAGAACAACAGGUAAAACCUAAAAUUCUAGUGAAUAUCGAUAACUGAUGAAUAAAUCUAAACGAAACGACAGCGAUGCGCCCGAAGUUAAAGCUUAGAUAUUACUCGAUAAAUGGAACUUAUAGAAUCGGUCGGAGAUCAAGUGAUGCAGCCCCGCCAACCCGUACGAACUCGUGAAAAGAAGAAAAGUACUGACGAAGUCGUCAACUCGAAAGUAAAGUGCGAGGAAAUAGUAGAUUGUUGUAUUGAUUUGAUGAUGAUUACAGAUCUCUAAAGAUGGCUAUUUAUAGCCUGUUACAACCAAUCUCUUAACCGACUAGGACUCUAUCUCUAAGUUUAAACGAAAACGAAUAUUUACAAGUAUGACUCGUAUCGGAGUUGAUUGCUGUGUUCCUGUGGGCCGACCCCUUUUAUCCUCGUAAUCCACUCUGAGCCCAUAUUGGUCCAACUAUUCCAGCCUCUCGAUCGGCCGAUUUCCAUCAACUCCAUUCGCCGAAACACUGCCGCACCAAUCUGCCGAUCUCCAACUGUAGCACCAAUCGGCCGAUUCCCAAUCCUGACCUCCGUACCUCGCCGCAUCAGCUGAUUCUUUCCUUUCUUGGCGCCGAUUCCAUACGUGUCAAAAUCUAGCGUCAACACAUGCCCCCCAGUUUCGGAGUAAAACAUAAUCUUUACUUCGAAAUUCCUUUUAACUUCCCUUCCGAAACAAACGCAUUGAAAAUACCCUUCCGUUUCGCGGUCUUCUACCUGAUGAUUGCAAUCUUUUCAAAAUGGGCGCCCACGACAACCACUUCUCCCAAAAAAAUCGAACCGACGGCGCGGUAAAAAUCCUGCUUUUACCCCUUCUCAGACCGUCCUUAAAUAUCAGCACGUCCCGUACUCCUUCUCACGAGCUCACGUCUUCCUUCUUUGGCACACUGAUCUCCUUCUUCCUCCGGCGUCUCCCUAGCUUCCAGUAUUUCCCUCCGACAUCUUCUUCCAUCCACAUUCCGUCCCACCUCCCCGAUGGCGACACCCUCAGGCACUUCACCAACAUCCGAAGUCCCAGAGACGGCCCCACCAGCGGCGGCUCCAGCGGCAAUGGCGGCAGCUCCAUCGGCAGGAGCGGGAGCUCCAUCGGCGGGAGCGGGAGCUUCGACGGAGGCCCCACCGACGGCUUUAGCACGAUGAGCUUCAUACCGGAGGUUUUUACCGAAACUUCUCUUAAUACCAAUGCAUUUACCUUAGAUCCGUUCUUACUUCCGCCCCCUUUUUCCCUUUUUUAGGCGGUUAGACACCAGAUUACCAUCCGCCUUACCGAAACCCCUGGUCUUAUCUGCCUUGGUCCCAUAGGAAACCCAGAUCCAACUGACUUGAUCAAUUUGGAAACCCAUAGAAUUCCAUUCAAGCAAUCAACCCUGGACCUAGACCACUGGUCAGGCACUUUCAGAUCAUGGCCGAAUGAAACCCCCGGUUGGAGGGAAUGGUACCAACGGAUAGCCGCCUCCAAAAGAGUUCAAUGGGACGAGCACAAAAUCGGCCAGUGCAUCGAUCUGUCUUUGUCCCAAAUGGAAAGAAAUGAGCCUUUAGUAAUAGCAGCCUCGUACUUUUGGUCCGACGCUCUCAACGCGUUUCUCUUCGGACAUGGGCCUAUGACUCCCACCUUGGCCGAUGUGGUCAUGUUGACCGGCCUUGACAUUUCCUCCCCUGAUACCCCUUUCCGUUACCUGGCCAAGACGUCCCAUCGGCUGGAGAUGACAGGAAUCAGCAGAUGGAAGGGGUUCAUCAAGUGCAACAGGAGGGCCAGGACAGUCGCAGAAAGGGAGCAUGCGGCCUUCCUGAUGAUGUGGCUAGAGAAGCACCUCUUUUGCGGGAGGGCAGCUGGUCCAUCCACUAACACACAGGCUCUGGCCAGGGCGCUAUCGAUAGGAGCUUCUGUUCCUCUUGGAAAGCAUUUAUUGGGAUCAGUUUAUCAUAUGUUGCACUAGAUCGGCGUAAAACUAUCCAAAGGAGAGCCGAUUGGAAACCCAGGUGGACCCUUGUGGUUCAUCAACUUGUGGCUCAACCUGUACAUGAGCAAGAUCUCCCAGCAGCGAGUGGAGUACAUGACAUUCCCCAACAUUGAAUCGGCAGAGAACCCCACUGUACGGUGCCGGUGCACUUCCUUCGGUGAAGCAGCAUCGGCCUUCUCUGGUUGCCCAUAUUCUGCUACCAAGGUGGCCGAAUAUUUCAGAUGCUUCUACAAUGGUUUCAGCGAAGAUGCAACCAGAUGGUUCCCUUAUCAAAAGGAGGAACCACUCUUCGAGCUCCCCUCUUGUUUUGACUCGGCCACCAAUAAAUUUGAUGAGGACCUCACAGAUGAGUUGAUCAAGCUGGGGAUUCUGCCGGUGAAUUUCUUCUCGGGGAAGGACGCCUCCACUUAUGAGUUUUACAACCCUUCUGUUGCAGCACGGCAAUUUGGCUUAGGUCAACUGCCGAUUUAUGCAUACUUCGCCGGCCGAGCAAAAUUCCGAGACGACCUCACCAAAGUUCUUGACUACAGUCGGCUGUACGAUCGGAUCCCAGACUCCAGCACCAUAGACCUUACCGAUUGGAUAGUAGCUCCUUUCGCCGUUCAGCAGUUCAAGAUAUGGUGGGUAGAAUGGAAACAGCAUCUAUUCUGCGCCUCCGCGGUGAUAUAUUGCAACCUCCUGGACCCUGACAACAUUGACCCGAAUGCUGAGGUAUCGCCCUCUUUUUAACCGAUUUUCAACUCCCUCUUUAUAUAUGUACCACUGACUCUUAUUAUUUUUUCAGUCUGAGAGUUGCGCUCCCCCAAAACGCAGUCGGAGCGGCCGGCCGAUAGAGGACCGUUAUCCAUACACGGAAUUCCCCUUCAUCGGUUAUCACACCCCCUCCGUCGACGACAUAGCUGGCCGGGCGAAGCAAGCGCAGAAGAAGAUCAUCAAGAAAACCAGUCGUCGGGUGAGAGCCCGCACAGAAUCGGCCGAUCCACCCGCGGCUGCAUCGGCGGAAAUUUUGGUUGCGCCGACCCUUCCGGUUGCUGAAGAAGUUGACCUCCAAGCUACUACAGAAGCUGGAGCGGCGGCCGCAUCAUUGUUGGUAGAAGCCGUUCAGGUAAACUCAUCAUUUGAUUUUCUCCUGGUCAUUACUUCAAUACUGACUUUCCCUAUACCAGGCAGCACAAACCGCCCCGGUGGGUCUACAGCAAUCGGCGAUGUCUCAAACAGAAACCGAAGUACCAGUGCUUCCGCCCGCUGAGGUAUAGGGCCUCUCAACUUAACUCUUUUAAUAUUUAAGCGAUAACCUUACCGAUUCUGAUGCAGGUCAUUGGCACGCUAACCAUGCUCCCUGAACAGCCGUCUGUCAGAGAAGUCCUUCAAGAAGCCGGCCCUAGCAGGACGCCGAUUAUCGUCGAAUCCUCCUCUUCCGACGAGCCGAUCGCACCAGUCCCCGAGCCAAGGGUAGUGAUUCCGCAGACGCAAAUGGAAGAGAUCCGCUUCAAAGAAGUAAGAAAUCUUAUAACCCGUAUUGGCCGAUUUGCUACCACCAUCGGCUGAUUUAUUUUUUAUUUAUCAUUUUGCAGGAACAGGACACUCCCAAUAACAGCCUCUUCUUGUUUGCGGUUGCGCUUUCUGAUGACGAAGAAGUCGCUUCCUGUGAAGUCACCUUGAGCUCAGUACCCGACGAUGUCCGCGCCAAGCUUGAAAAUAUACGGACGCUUCUCCAAGAAGACAUCGGCCAACUGGUGGAGGAUGCCUCGCCGAUUCGGCAACUCUUUGGUGACGUCAGCGGUCGAGUCCUAGAAGAAGCCAAAGAAGCCUUGGCACCCGCCGCUUAUAUUGAAUCGAUGCGGAUCCCGGUCUUCAGGGCUCUGCGUCACAUGGCCGAUCGCGCCAAGCUAGCCAAGACUCGUGAGGAGGAGGACUCUUACAAGCAUUGGGCCCAAGAGGUACACCAUCGGAUUCACUUCCUCGAGAACUCCCAUCCCGAACUCGUCUGUACGAUAGAUCAUCUCAAGCGCCGAAGGGCGGAACUUGCCAAGGAGAUGGAGCAAGUAACCAAAGAGAUAGCCAUUGAAGAGAAGAAGCUUCAGGAACUCCCUUCCGUUAUCGCCGAUUUGAAGCAGGAGAGGCAGCACCUGGCCCACGAGGCCCUCAGACUUCAUCGUCACAUGCCAGAAGUCCCGGGGUCAGCGGAGGAUGGCCAGCACGUCUUAGACUCGGCCGAUCAGAUCAGGCGACGAGCGAUCGCGGCCAUUAAUGCCAUUCUGGGAUGAUCUGUAAAAGUACUGGCCGUUUUGUAAGAACAUUAAUACCUUUUGACCAUCCUUCGCGGCGCGCUUUUAUUUAUUACCCUUUUAUUCCGACGGGACGCGUCUUACCAAACCUCCGCCCUUUCUCUUCUUAUAAAUAUCGGCCCUAAUUUCGCUCUCUAGACUACUUGCCCCACUCGAUUCCUUUCCCGAUUACUUUUUCAUUGGAACGUUUGCAGGCAUGUCUUCUUCGUCUUCUUCUUUCUCUUCUCCUUUCGUUAAUCAGGUAUAAGAUCCGUCUUCGUUCCUUCUUUUUAGUUUGAUUCCUUUAAACCGUCCUAACUUUUAGGCGGUUAUAUGUUAACCUUUUCAGCCAAAUAGCCUCCCGAACUUGAACGAGCGAUCAAACUCAUGCUCUCCGACGAACCAUUGUUGCAAGAAGAUAGGGAACUGAUCAAGGCACACCGUGAAGAACUCAGAGAUCACGUUCCUGCCGAUGUCCGACGGAUCUGGGAUCACAUCGACGGCAACUGUUACAGGCAGCCGCCGAUCAAUAGGAGCCACCCACUCCCUUACCCGGUCGCCCUUGAAGACGCCGUGGCAGGAACAUCUCGUGCGAUACUGGAUCGGAGCCAUCCUCUUCCUCGCCAGGUAGAGGCAGAAGCCGCGAUGAAGGAUGUAGAAGAAUGAAGCACUCGCCUUCUGAUAGAAUUAGGUCGGAUUGAGAGGGAACUCAAGAAGAAGCGUAGUUGAGAAUUUUUGUUCUAAGGGCGACUUGUACCGUGUCGGCCGUGCAACUUAUCAUCCAAAUCGAAUAAUAAAUCGGCCAACUUGAACGAUUACUCUUUCUCUUCUAGGCGAUAUCUCCAUCGGCUAUGUGAUUAUCUAGGAAAUAAUCAUUUUGCCUCGUCAUAAUGAUCUUUAUGCAUCGACCCAUAUACUAGGGUAUAUCUUUUCAAGUACCUCCCGUUCAAGGCCCUAGUAAUUCUUCCCCUUCGAUAGUCUCCAGAAUGUACGUGUUUCCCGGAGCGCAUCGGCCGAUUCUAUACGGCCCUUCCCAAGUCGGGGACCAUUUACCGAACUUAGGAUCCUUAGAUGCGAUCGGCAGCACCAAUUUCCAUACCAGAUCCCCUUGGGAGAACUGCUUGACUUUGACCUUCUUGUCAUACCACCUGGCUACUUUCUUUUUGUUCUCCUCAAUACUGAUCAAGGCUCUCAGCCGUUGACCCGCCAAAUUGUCAAGUUCCCUUUUCAUAAGCGAGGAGUAAUCAUCGGCCGUCAGCUGAUCUUGAAGCGACGUUCAUCUUGAGCCCAUUCUCAACUCCCAUGGCAAUACCACCUCAUGACUGUACACCAGUUGAUAAGGAGAUACCUUGGUAGCUUCGUGGCAAGCCAUUCUGUACGCCCAUAGGGCUUCGGUUAAACACAAGUGCCACUUUUUGGGUUGUUCCUCGAUUUUCCUCUUGAUCAACUUAAUUAUCCCCUUAUUGGAUGACUCGGCCUGGCCGUUAGCUUGAGCAUAAUACGGGGAGGAAUUUAGCAGUUUGAUCCCCAUAUCGGCCGUGAACUCCUCGAAUUCGCCAGAUGUGAACAUCGUUCCUUGAUCGGUCGUGAUGGUCUGAGGGAUGCCGAAGUGAUAGACAAUGUGGUCCCUUACGAAAUCGACCAUAGCAGCCGAUGUUACGGCUUUUAAUGGAAUCGCUUCCACCCACUUGGUGAAAUUGUCUGUUGCUACUAGAAUGAAUUUGUGUCCCUUACUUGACGAAGGAUAUAUUUGUCCGAUGAGAUCUAUUCCCCAACCUCUGAACCGUCACGGCUUGAUAAUUGGAUUCAUAGCCGAUGCGGGCGCGUGUUGCACGUUCCCAUAUUUUUGACAAUCUUGGCAUCCUUUAUAAUAUUUGAAACAGUCCUCAAGGAUUGUCGACCAAUAAUAUCCAUUAUUCCUAAUCAUCCACUUCAUCUUAUGCGCCGAUUGGUGGGCUCCACACACCCCUUCGUGGAUUUCUCCCAUCAGUGUUUUUGCCUCCUCAGUCCCUAGGCAUUUGAGUAGAACACCAUCAAUCGUCCGGUAGAAUAAGUCAUUUUCUAGUAACACAUACUUUGUGGCUUGAAAUCGUACUCGCCGAUCCACUUUCUUAGAUGGGUCUUUUAAAUAAUCGGCGAUGUCUUUUCGCCACUCAUCAGCCGCAAGUUCCAGAAUCAUGGCGCCUUGAAUCUGCCGAUAUCCGGACGCGUGCUGAGCAAGCCUGUUGGCUUCUUCAUUAUAAUCCCUGGGGAUAUGCUUGAUAACCGCGGAUUUGAAUUCUUUCAGAAGCUGGAGGCAAUCUUCAUAAUAAAUCCUUAAUACGUCAUCCUUGCACUCGGAUCUUCCUGUCAAUUGGUCCACGAUGAGCAUGGAAUCUCCAAAAAUCUCGACGGCGUCGGCCUUGAUCUCUCUUAACAAUUGUAACCCUUUUAGGACGGCCCGGUAUUCCACCUGGUUAUUGGUGGCGGAUGCUUCUAUCAGCAGAGAGAAGUCAUAACUUGCCCCCCGAGGCGAUAUGAGAACGAUGCCGAUUCCCGAUCCGGCCCCACAUGACGAGCCAUCAAAAUAUAAGGUCCAUGGUACUGGUUCCACGACGGCGAUUUCUGGUCCGCAGUGCUGGGUGACAAAAUCGUCCAUGACCUGACCUUUGAUGGCUUUUGCUGAUUCGUAUUGUAGAUCAAACUCCAAUAAAGCCAAAAUCCACUUUCCGAUCUACCCUUUUAAAAUCGGCAAUGACAGCAUGUACUUCACUACGUCAUCCUUGCAUACGACUACGCAUUCUGCCGAUAAUAAGUAGUGCCUGAGCUUGGUGCAUGAGAAGUAAAGAUAUAGGCAUAGCCGCUCUACCAGAGGAUAUCUUGUUUCAGUGUCCAGAAGCCUUCUGCUAACAUAAUAUAUCACCCGUUCCUUUCCUUCAAACUCCUGGAUUAACGCCGACCCAAUAGCUCGCUCAUCGGCCGAUAAAUAUAGCUUGAAUGGCUUACCAGUUUGUGGUGGGACCAACACGGGAGGCGAGGCUAAGUACUGCUUGAUGUCUUCUAGCGCCUUGCGUUGCUCUCCUCCCCAUACAAAUUCUUGGUUGGGUUUUAAUUUUAAUAACAGUGUGAAAGCCUGGAUACGUCCGGAUAGGUUGGAUAUGAAUCUUCUGAUGAAAUUGACUUUGCCGAUCAAGGAUUGCAACUCGGUUUUAUUCUACGGGGCCACGACUUUAUUGAUAGCCGCUAUAGUCUUCCGGUUGAUCUCUAUCCCACGCUCAUGAACCAUGAAACCCAAGAAUUGUCUGGCGGAUACACCGAAAGCACAUUUGUUCGGAUUCAUUUUUAACCCAUGCCUUCUCGUACAUUCCAAUACUUGCCACAAAUCGGCCAGAUGUUCCUAGUGUCCUUUUGAUUUGACCACGACGUCGUCAAUGUAAAUUUCUACUAGUAUGCCGAUAAGUUUGUGAAAUAUGUAAUUCAUGGCUCGUUGAUACGUAGCGCCGGCGUUCUUCAAACCGAAAGUCAUUACCACCCAUUCGAACAAUCCGAGGUGACCUAGGCACCUGAAAGCUAUUUUCGAUAUGUCCUCUUCGGCCAUUAGUAUUUGAUUGUAUCUGGCAUUUCUAUCCAUGAAACUGAUGACUUUGUGACCUGCGGCGGCGUCUAUUAACACAUCGGCUGUCGGCAUCGGGUAACCGUCCAUCGGCGUAGCCUGAUUAAGGUUCCUGAAGUCAAUGCACACGCGUAGCUUUCCGUUCUUCUUGUAUACGGGCACGAUGUUGAAGAUCCACUCGGUAUAACGGCAUUGCCGAAAAAAACUUCGCUUCAAUCACUCUUGUGAUUUCGGCCUUUAUAUCAGGUAAGAUUUUAGGAUUACAUCGUCGCGCGGGCUGCUGAUAUGGCCGAUAUCCCAGCUUUAUGGGUAGCCGGUGUUCGACAAUGGACCGGUCUAAUCCGGGCAUUUCAUGGUAUUCCCAAGCAAAGCAAUCUUUAAACUCUUUCAAUAAAUCUGUCAAUUUACAUUUGUAUUCCGGAUCCAAAUUAGCACUAAUGUACGUCGGCCUUGGCUUGGUGCCAUCGCCUAAAUCUAUCGCCUUUAAUGAGUCGGCCAACGUAAACCCGUGCCCUAGCUUCCCGUCUUCCCGGACGAAAUGAUCCAUUUAAUCUAAAUCUUCGAAGCCGACUGCUCAGAUCGGCUGUAGACCAAAAUCGGACACCUUCAGGAAAUCAGUGUCCCAAAUUCUCCCGGAUAUGCACUUGACGUUCUCGCAGCUCCAUUGCUGUGCAUCGGCCGCCGCGACGCUGUACGCGGAAUCGGCGGUGACCACCUCGAUGUUGUCGCCGACCCAUUGCACGAGGCAUUGGUGCACAGUAGACGGGAUGCAGCAAUUUGCGUGUAUCCAGUAUCAGCCGAGUAGCAUGUUGUAGGACCCUUUGCCAUUGAUAAUAAAGAAAGUGGUGGGAAGAGUCUUACUGCUGAUGGUGAGGCUGACGCAGAGCGCGCCGCGGGCGGGAGACACGUUGCCUUUGAAGUCUUUGAGCAUCAUGUCCGUCUUGGUCAGAUCAUCGUCACUUUUUCCUAGCUUCCGGAACAUGGCGUACGGCAUGAUGUUGACAGCAGCUCCUCCAUCUACUAGUAGUCUGGUGAUGGGUCGGCCAUUGACAUGUCCUUUGAGGAACAACGCCUUGAGGUGCUGCCUUUUUUCAUCCUCGGGUUUCUCGAAGGUGGCUGUCAUUGGCUCCAAAGCCAAUUGCGCCAUCUGUUCUUCUAUUGCCGACAUGUUAUGUCGGUCGGCAGGAGUCAUGAACUCCAUCGGCAGAAUUAAAACCAUGCUGACAUCAGUUGCCGAUUCUUGGUUGUCACCGCCUUCCUUGUCAUUUCUUCUGGGAUGCCACACUCGAGGCCUGUUGAUUUGCUUGUUCAUCACCUGUUGUUGCUCCUCUUCCUGUUGUUCCCAUUGGCGGAGACGCUGGAUUCUUCGUUUUUGUGAUUUGGUCAAUCCGUCGGGGCACCACCUGGGGUUUACUGGUUUAGCCGAUGGCUUGGCCCGUUCCCAUUCUGGUUCCCGUCCCAAGGGGUUCUCAUCUGAUACCCGAGCGUCAGCCAUCUCUUCCAACCGAUCAUGUGUGCUGGCCCUGCCCUCUGGUUGGUCGCGCUGAUCGAAUCUACCCCCCGGCCUAUCGUUUCGCGCAUGCCUAUCUUCCGACCGAUUAUAUCGAUCACUUCUUCCCCCCAGCCGAUCACGCACUGAAGGGCGCCGGUUCUCUUGCUCGUGCCAGUUUCUGCUGAUCGGCUCUGGCCUUCCAUCUCUGGAGCGAGAUCUUCUAAAUGGUCGUUUGUUGCGAUACAGGCCAUUGCAGUCGGGCAAAUGUCGGCUGACGGCAACCUAAGGUUAUUCUCCCAGCAGUGGAUGAAGAACGGGCAUCGCCAGUGAUCUUCAUGUCAUCGCAUCAUCUCUUCCCGGAAUCUUGAACUUUCUUGUUGCCAUUGAUACUUGUUGAGCAGAAAUUGGGAGGUGAUGGGCCUGCGUGGUUCUCCUGAUCCUUCGCCUUCAUCCUCCAUCCGUCGUUUCUCUUUGACGUCUUCGGGCGCCGCUUGAUUCCUGGGGUCUACGGCACCGCUCUUUUUAGCCGAUUCCGAUGUUAGCACCUUGGUCUAGAGUGAGUUCCUUCUUGUAUCGACCAUGUUGGUAGGGAACGGAUGCUGAUCGAUCUUCAUUGGCUUUACUGGCUUUGUCGGGACUUCGAACUUGAGCCUGCCUUGCUCAAUGGCCGAUUGUAUUUGCUGUCGGAAGAUUUUGCAUUCGUUCGUAUCAUGGGAGGUGGCAUUAUGCCACUUGCAAUAUUUCAUCUUCUUCAGCUGUUCGGCCAACGGGAUCGUAUGGUAUGGUGAGACCUUGAUUUGUCCUUCCUGGAGGAGGAGAUCGAAAAUUUUAUCGGCCUUUGACGUGUCAAAACCGAAUGCCUCUGACUCCUUUUUUCCGAACGGACACGAUAUCGGCUUCUUCCCUUUAACCCACUCCGCCAGGCCGAUUUCUGUUUCUUCUUCAGACUCAGCUCCCUCUAAGUACGCCACCUUCUUCUAGAAAUUCCUCCAUGGAUCAAAGAAACGUACUUCCUGGUCGGACAGUCGAUGUACAAUUUGGCUCAGGCUCUCGAACUCCUGUGAAGCAUAUUUUUCUUUGAUGUGAGGCAAGAGACCCUGGAAGGCUAUAUCGGCCAAUUGUGCGUCAGUUAGGACUAGGGUGUAGCAUUUGUUCCUGAAUUCUCUGAACCUCUACACGUAUGUGGACACCGGCUCAUCACUCCUCUGUCUGAGGCUGGUUAAGUCUGAAAGCUUCAUCUCAUGUACCUGUGGCGGAGCCACCUCGGAUUAACUAGAUUAAGCAGAGUUAAGUCGCCUAACAUGCGACACUCCCGCCUAAACCGAGUUAAUGCGAAGUGCCGUCGGAUUUUCAUCCGAUUUAACCACUUAAACAGGAUCGAGUUCAGCAAACCCACACAAGGGUGAGCGGUUACAGAGAAUACAACAAGUCCACUGAGUUAAACAAGUUUUACCCAUUUAAAUCGGUCAUAAAAAAAAUCCAACAUCAGAUUUUUACGAGAUUCAAGAAAACAACAGAGUCACACUAGCGGAAGACUUCGUCGGGGUCGGAUGUCCGGGCGAGGCCAGCCAGAACAUCACUGAGUCCUCUCCUCGCCGUCCGAGGAGGGGUCCCACUCGACCGUCCAGCCUGGCGGGAGCUGGGGCGGCCAAGCACCAACCAGAGAGGGGUCGGAAGCAGCAACUUCACCUGAAAACAGAAGCCACAACCAGGCUGAGCUACUAAGCUCAACAAGACUUAACCGAUGGGAGUGAGGGCUACUCCUCUUUCUAGACAUGCAAGGCUCUUUGGCUGAGGGGUUUGUUUGCCAAAGGCACUAAAUAUCUCUAUAUCAGUUUUUAGCUCAGGUUCUAUGUUCAUUUACCAGUCUAGGUUGUACGACCUAUUCUAAGCAUUCAUAGAACCAACAAAAAGUGUAGAUGUAACAACAACAUUGCCAUCAUCAGAUUCCUUAUUUACUCAGUGUGACAUAGCGAUCAAGCAGUCUCAAACUGUGAGAGGCAGACGAAUCGAUUCGAGUUCUUUAACCAUGCAUGGUGAACCUAGCCUCACGACAUCCGCGCAUCCGGAGGUCGCUUCCUGUGUCGGCCUUCCCCAUCAAUCCCCUAACCCGUGUCGGGCCCAUUUCCUUUGGUGCAAGGUUCCACAGACCCGGCCUCUGCCAUCCUGUGACCACACAUUGCCACCACGUGCGACAACCAGCAGGGGAAACUCCGUUCCAAGAACAAUGGGGCGACCGCUCACGUCUAGGUUCAAUCCGGUACUAGGCUUCCUCAUCCCAUACUAAGUAUGAGGCUAGUACUUUCAAACACUUGAUCAAGAACACCACCACUGUCGGGCCUUAGCAAGAUUGCAUAGACAGACGGGGCAACCUUCCGACCACCAAAGAGUUACCCAAAACCCUGCCCCGUCCGUCGUCCUUAUAGUUCUGACAGGAGAGGAAACAUGCAACUCCUAUAACUCGCGAGUGACAGGAAAUCACUCGACUUUUACCGUAUCCUAAUUAAGCAAUGCAGCUACUCGGUCCAACAACUAGUGCUCAGAUCACUGGGAUAACUAGUCAUGCAUCUAGGGUUUCACACAACUCCUAUACGUAAAUGCACAAGCAUGUUACAGAAGGCAUGCGCAAGUUUGGUAAAACACAUAGGACUUUCAUGCAACCGGGGCUUGCCUUCAAGCAAGGAGGACGGGAACUGCUCGACUUCGGGGGCGACUUCGACUUCGGAGGGCAGGAGCUCGGCUACAGCUUCUUCUUCUGGCGCCGGGUGAAGCUCGUAGAAGCCGUCGGCGAGGCGCAGCUCUACACGAAUGCAAUGCAAGGGUUAGCUUAGACGGUUAAUUCAACAGCAACACUGGCUCUCCUGAGCCCAGAAACUCGCGACAAGGAGCAGGAGGUGAUGGUGGUUCGAGAGCUGAGGAUAAACAAAAGGUAAGGGUAGGAAGGAAUUAGUGGUUUGAUCCUUGAACUAGAGGAUGUGAUAACUGGGAUCCUCAGACGCAAGCGCUGGAGGGUUUCCAAGUUUUACACAGACACCCUCGAGUUGAAGAAAAAGAUCACAGCCAAGCCCUCGGGCGGGGCGGAUAAAGGUCGACAGAACAGAUAGGGUCGGACGAGACGGAACUGGGGUCGGGCGGAUAGGAGGGGUCGGGCGAGGCGGACUUGGGGUCAGCAACUCACCUUCUUCCUGAAAGGAAGGCUUGGGGUCGGGAAGAAGAGAACUUGGGCGGAGUGACUAAAGCUUCAAGCAAGGGCUAAGACUGGCAAUGCUCUGGCGGCGGCGCUGUUUCUUGCGGAUCACAAGAGAGCUCUUACGCAGCACGGGGAGCAAGCUGCUGGGUGACUUGGAGGAACUGAGAGGGAACUGGGAGAAGAACUUCUCAAGAACUAGGUGGAUGGCGUUAGGAGCUUGAGCAGGGAGCUAGAGAAGGCUAAAGGCAACAAGAGCGGAGGGAACUCCGGCGACGGGGGCAUCCCUUUUAUAGCUGCUGGAGCAGAGAAACGGAAACGGCGCGGGGAGAGAGAAGGGGAGCGGUGCGAAGGCCGGGGAGAAGCAAUGGAGUGCUCUGCCGGGGCGGCGAUUGAGCAAAGGAGGCGGUGCGGCAGAACUCCGGGGGUGACGCCAGCGAUCAUUGCGUUCUGCCGUCAGGGCGGCGUAGGGACGGGUAGACUGGUGGUUGAGAUUUGGCGGAAAGCGGGCGUCGUCGUGCGGAAGAUUUGAUCGAAGUGACCGGCUUAACGGCGCUAGAAACGAGGGCGCUCGGGUGAGAAGACAGGCGGACGCGGGCGCGGGGGAGAGCAUGGAACAACAGAUUGUCGGGCGGCUUCUGACAGAGCGGGGAAAGGAACUGUCGCGGCCGCGGUCGGGGUUGGCGGUGGAGGAAUCGUCGUGUAGCGACGACCGGGUGGCGCAACUGUGGCUGAAGGGACGGAAAAGACGGGCGACAUCGGGCUCUGGGGCCGGGAUCUGGUGGUGUGAUGAUGGGCGCGGGAGGCGAGGUUCUGCAGAAAGGGGUGCAGAGGGCUUCCGCUGCGAUUGGGGAAGAGGGGCGCGGGAACCCACUCUGCUGCUUGCCAGAGACAAAACUGAGCGAUGGCGUCGGAGAAGAUGAGCCACGCGGCAGGAAGGCUCUGAGGCGGCCAUGCAACUCGAGUGCGGCUGUCGCGGGGGAUCUGGAAAAGAUCUCGCGGGUCCACUUGUGGAUAGAUCUGACGGGUGAGGAAGAUCAGCAGAAUCCGACGGUGGGCUGAGCUCGCCGGGGUCGGGAGAGGGGCGAAGAAGGAAGUGGUCGGAUCUCAGGGGUCGGGACCGGCGGAAAACUGGGCACUUAGGUGCGGUCGAGCUAAACAGCUGACUAAGGUUAAGGGCUGGGAUCUAGCCUAACUGGGAAGGCUUAGGGGUCGGUCGUUACAGUACCCCUGCGUAGAAGUAAUUGUGGAACUGCUUCUCCAUGUCAGCCCAUGUAAUUAUGGAGUUGGGUGGCAGCGUAGUAAACCAUUGGAAGGCCAACCCGGACAGGGAUGACGAGAAGAGGCGUACCCAUAGAGCGUCUUGUGUAGCUGCUUCCCCACAUUGGAUGAUGAAUCUGUUUACGUGUUCCACAGUUGAGGUAUCAUCAAGCCCCGAAAACUUGGUGAAAUUAGGAACUUUGUACCGAUGGGGAAACGGCAGUAAGUCAUAGGUAGGCGGGUACGGCAUUCUGUAUGUGUAGGUUUGCACCUUCGUCUUUAAACCGAAUUGUUCUUGAAUCACCUCUGCUAUCCGUGCCGUCCAGUCUGCUUGUUGUUGAUGAACUAUCGGCUGGGGGACCAGCACGUGUUGGUAGAUUGGCGGUGGGAUGACCGGGUGGUGGCCGAAGGCGUGCGGCGCCUGAGGUCACGCGGCCGGCUGUGUAGUCGGCGUCGGUUGUCUCAGUGAACCGGCCGUUUCAUCAUAUAGUACAAUCGGUGCAGAGCCCCGAAGUGUUUCUGUUGUUUCUGCCCCCCUGCCCAUCUGCGUGGUUCUCCUGAUCCUUCGCCUUCAUCCUCCAUCCGUCGUUUCUCUUUGACGUCUUCGGGCGCCGCUUGAUUCCUGGGGUCUACGGCACCGCUCUUUUUAGCCGAUUCCGAUGUUAGCACCUUGGUCUAGAGUGAGUUCCUUCUUGUAUCGACCAUGUUGGUAGGGAACGGAUGCUGAUCGAUCUUCAUCGGCUUUACUGGCUUUGUCGGGACUUCGAACUUGAGCCUGCCUUGCUCAAUGGCCGAUUGUAUUUGCUGUCGGAAGAUUUUGCAUUCGUUCGUAUCAUGGGAGGUGGCAUUAUGCCACUUGCAAUAUUUCAUCUUCUUCAGCUGUUCGGCCAACGGGAUCGUAUGGUAUGGUGAGACCUUGAUUUGUCCUUCCUGGAGGAGGAGAUCGAAAAUUUUAUCGGCCUUUGACGUGUCGAAACCGAAUGCCUCUGACUCCUUUUUUUCGAACGGACACGAUAUCGGCUUCUUCCCUUUAACCCACUCCACCAGGCCGAUUUCUGUUUCUUCUUCAGACUCAGCUCCCUCUAAGUACGCCACCUUCUUCUAGAAAUUCCUCCAUGGAUCAAAGGGACGUACUUCCUGGUCGGACAGUCGAUGUACAAUUUGGCUCAGGCUCUCGAACUCCUGUGAAGCAUAUUUUUCUUUGAUGUGAGGCAAGAGACCCUGGAAGGCUAUAUCGGCCAAUUGUGCGUCAGUUAGGACUAGGGUGUAGCAUUUGUUCCUGAAUUCUCUGAACCUCUGCAUGUAUGUGGACACCGGCUCAUCACUCCUCUGUCUGAGGCUGAUUAAGUCUGAAAGCUUCAUCUCAUGUACCCCUGCGUAGAAGUAAUUGUGGAACUGCUUCUCCAUGUCAGCCCAUGUAAUUAUGGAGUUGGGUGGCAGCGUAGUAAACCAUUGGAAGGCCGACCCGGACAGGGAUGACGAGAAGAGGCGUACCCAUAGAGCGUCUUGUGUAGCUGCUUCCCCACAUUGGAUGAUGAAUCUGUUUACGUGUUCCACAGUUGAGGUAUCAUCAAGCCCCGAAAACUUGGUGAAAUUAGGAACUUUGUACCGAUGGGGAAACGGUAGUAAGUCAUAGGUAGGCGGGUACGGCGUUCUGUAUGUGUAGGUUUGCACCUUCGUCUUUAAACCGAAUUGUUCUUGAAUCACCUCUGCUGUCCGUGCUGUCCAGUCUGCUUGUUGUUGAUGAACUAUCGGCUGGGGGACCAGCACGUGUUGGUAGAUCGGCGGUGGGAUGACCGGGUGGUGGACGAAGGCGUGCGGCGCCUGAGGUGACGCGGUUGGCUGUGUAGUCGGCGUCAGUUGUCUCAGUGAACCGGCCGUUUCAUCAUAUAGUACAAUCGGUGCAGAGCCCCGAAGUGUUUCUAUUGUUUCUGCCCCCCUGCCUAUCUCUAGAGCGACUGGUUGAUACUGUGGGACCAUCGGCCGCACGACCAAUUAGAAAGGUGCCUGGAUCGAAGAGCUUCCAUAGCCGGCCGACUGAUCUUGGACGACUGACGCCGAUGGUGCCCCCCAAGGCAUUGAGUUUAGUGAAGAUGAUUGCGUGGAACAAAUCUGAGUGGGUUGAGGCGGCGCAUGCGGCUGAAGGUAUGGUGUGCCGUUGUAUCCCAGAUGCGUUGAUGACGAAGGAGCGCUAGAUCCUCCCGGCUGACCUUGAAUCGGCUGAGGAGCCGAGUAAGGUAUACUUGGAGAACUCCUGACCGGGGCUGUGAUAGGUGGUGCGUACGCUGGCCCCUGGUACCCUUGAGACACACCAUUAGCCAGGGAGCUGAUGACGGCAUUGUAUACCGUAUUAGUUAUCACCGGAGAUUGAUCGAUGAAAGCUUGGUAGAUGGACUGUUGAACCAUCUCGGACAUCUUGCCCGAGUCCUCGGCGAUUGUAAUCUGGCGGGGAGUUGGAAAAGGGGCUUUCCUGACAGUUUCCCUGCUCCUGGUACGACUGAAGGAUUGUAAGCAUGUCUUUUGGUAGUGUGCUAUUUGCUUCUCCAGCUCUUCCUUCUGGUCGUCCUUGAGGUCUGCUUCCGUCACCUCGAUGACGUUAUCUUCAGAGAUUUCGACAGCUUUCGACAUGGUAGUGGUUAUGUUUGUCCCACCGGGCGUGCCAAAAGUGUGUUGGCGCUAGAAAUCAGUCGAUUGAACUUCCAGCGUUGGACACAUGACCCGGGAGAAUCUGCUUAACUCCUGUUCGGGUGGUCGCCCUGGUGCGGUUCGCGCGGCGUGCCAGCCAAUCUGACCUGUCGAUUAGCAAGGAAAGAAACGUGUCAGAUCCCAGAGGUUGCGAUCGGCUAAGGUUCCGAUCUUGAGGGAGCUUAUCAGCGAAUCGGCUGAUUUGCUGUAACAAAGAAAUCGGCUAUAAUACAGUCGAUUACCGGGCAACGUUGGUGAAGAAAACUACAAGAGUAAACUGAACAGCUGUGGCGGAUCCACUUCGGAUCUACUGGGUUAGACAUGAUUUAGCCGCCUGAUAUGCGACGCUCAUGACUAAGACGAGUAAACGCGAAGUGCCGUCGGAUUUUCCUCCGAUUUAACCACUUGAACAGGACCGAUUUAGCAGACUCACACAAAGGUGAGCGGUUCCAUAGAGUACAACAAGUCCAUCCAUAUUAACAAAUUAACCACUGGAUUUAGUUGCGAAAGAACAUCAGAGUUUUACAAGCUUUCGGAAAACAACAGAAGGUAAAACACUAGCGGAAGCAAUCGUCGGGGUCGGAUGUCCUGGUGAGGCCAGCCGGGACAUCACUGGUCCCUCUCCUCGCCGUCCGAGGAGGGAUCCCACUUGACCGUCCAGCCCGGCGGGAGCUGGGGCGGCCAAGCGCCAGCAAGAGAGAGGUCGGGAGCAGCAACUUCACCUGAAAAACAGGAGCCACAACAAGGUUGAGCUACUAAGCUCAACAAGACUUAACCGAUAGGAGUAAAACUACUCCACACUUCUAGACAUGCAGGACUUUCUGGCUGAGGGGUUUGCUUGCAAAAGGUACUAAGUACAACCCUAUUUUCAAGUUUUAACUCCGGUUCUGAGUUCUUUAACCAGUCUAGGUUUUGCAACCUAUUCUAAGCAAUCAUAGAGCCAAACAAGGUAUGUAUAUCAACAAAACCAUGUCAUUAUCAAAUUCCUCCUUUACUCAGGGUGACAUAGCGAUCAAGCAAUCUCAAACUGUGAGAGGCAGACGAAUCGAUUCGAAUUCUUAAACCAUGCAUGGUGAACCUAGCCUCACGACAUCCACGCACCCGGAGGUCGCUUCCUGUGUCGGCUGUCCCCAUCAAUCCCCUAACCCGUGUCGGGCCCAUUUCCUUUGGUGCAAGGUUCCACAGACCCGGCCUCUGCCGUUCUGUGGCCACGCAUGCCACCACGUGCGACAUCCAGCAGGGGAAACUCCAUUCCAAGAACAAUGGGGCGACCGCUCACGUCUAGGUUUAAUCCGGUACUAGGCUUCCUCAUCCCAUACUAAGUAUGAGGCUAGUACUUUCAAACACUUGAUCACGAACACCACCACUGUCGGGCCUUAGCAAGUUUUCAUAGACAGACGGGGCAACCAUCCAUCCACCAAAGAGUUACCAAAACCCUGCCCCGUCCAUCGUCCUUAUAGUUAUAACAGAAAGGUAGACAUGCAACUCCUACAACUCGCGAGUGACAGGGAAUCACUCGGCUUUUACCGUCUCCUAGUUAAGCAAUGCAACUACUCGGUCCAACAGCUAGUGCUCAGAUCAUGGGGAUAACUAAGUCAUGCAUCUAGGGUUUCAAACAACUCCUAUACGUAAAUGCACAAACAUGUUACAGAAGGCAUGCGCAAGUUUGGAAAACAGCGCAGGGUUUUCAUGCAACCGGGGCUUGCCUUCGAGCAAGGAGGAAGAGAACUGCUCGACUUCGGGGGCGACUUCGGCUUCAGCGGCCAGGAGCUCAGCUACAGCUUCGUCUUCUAGCGCUGGGUGUAGCUCGUAGAAGCCGUCGGCGAGGCGUAGCUCUACAUGAAUGCAAUGCAAGAGUUAGCAUAGAAGGUUAUUUCAAUACCAACACUUGCUCGCCUGAGCCCAGAAACUCGCGACAAGGAGCAGGAGGGUGGGGAGGUUCAAGAGAGCUGGUGGAGCUCAAGAGGCAAGGGUCGGAAAGGAAACUUAUGAUCUGAUCCUUGAACUAGAGGAUGUGGUAUACUAGGGAUCCUCAGACGCAAGCGCUGAAGGGUUCCUAAGUUUUACACAUACACCCUCGGGUUAAAGAAAAGAUCAUAGCCGAGCCCUCGGGCGAGGUGGAUAAGGGUCGGCGGAACCGAUAGGGUCGGGCGAGACGGAACCGGGGUCGGGCGGAUAAGAGGGGUCGGGCGAAGCGGACUGGGGUUGGCAGCUUACCUUCUUCCUACAAGGAAAGCUUGGGGUCGGGAAAAGGCAGACUUGGGCGGAGGGACUAAGGCUUUGAACAACGGCUAAGACCGGUAGUGCUCCAGCGGCGGUGCUUCUUGUGGGUCACAAGUGAGCUUUACACAGCAUGGAGGAGCAAGCGGCUGGGUGGCUUGGAGAAAACGGAGGGGAGCUGAGGGGAGAGUUCCUCAAGAGCUUUAGGGUGUGGUGCUAGGAGCUUGAACAGGGAGCACGAAAAUGGCUGAAAGCAACAAUGGUGGAGGGAACUCCGGCGGGCUUGUGCAUUCCUUUUUAUAGCUGCUGAAAUAGGGAAGGGAAGCGGCGCGGGAGAGAGAAGGGGAGCAGCGCGAAGGCCGGGGAGAAGCAAUGGAGUGCUCUGCCGGGGCGGCGAUUGAGCGAAGAGGGCGGUGGUGCAGGACUCAGGGAUGACGCCAGCGGUCAUUGGGUUCUGUCGUCAGGGCGGCGCAGGAGCGGGUAUGCCGGUGGUUGAGAUUUGGCGGAGGCGGGCGUCGUCGUGCGGAAGAUUUGAUAGAAGCGACCGGUUUAACGGCGCUGGAAUCAAGGGCGCACAGGUGAAAAGACAUGCAGCCGCGGGCGCGUGGGCGAGCGCGGAGCAACAGAUUGCCAGGCGGCUUCUGGCAGGACGGGGGAAAGGAGCUGUCGCUGCUGUGGUCGGGGUUGGCGAUGGAGGAAUCGUCGUGUAGCGGAGACCAGGCGGCGCGACUGAGAUCGAAGUGAUGGAAAAGACGGGCGACAUCGGGCUCUGCGGCCGGGAUCUGGCGGUGCGAUGAUGGGCGCGGGAGGCGAGGCGCUGCAGAAAGGUUGCAGAGGGGCUUCCGCCGCCAUUGGGGAAGGGGCGCGAGGAUCCAUUCGGUCGCGAGCCAGAGACAAAACUGAGCGGCGGGCAUCGGAGAAGAUGAGCCACGCGGCGGGGAGACUCUGAAGCGGGCAUGCAACUCAAGUGCGCCGGUCGCGGAAGAUCUGGGGGAAAAAGAUCUCGCGGGUCCACCGAGCGGAUAGAACAGACGUUUGAGGAAGACUUAGAAGGAUCCGACGGUGAGCUGAGUUCGCCGGGGUCGGGAUCGGAGCGAAGUGGGGAGGGGUCGGGUCUCAGGGGUCGGGAUCGGGCGGAAGGCUGAGCACACAGGCGCGGCAAAACAAGACAGAAGAAAAGAUCCAGGGCUAGGAUUAAGGUUAACCCGGAAGAUUAGGGUCCGGUCGUCACAACAACACUACAGUAGCAACACUAGGAAAAAAAUUUAAUCGGCUAUGCAAGAAGCGGUAAAUUAAGCAAAAAUAUAAGUGAGCCAAAAGCUCUAAUUCCAAGCUGGAUAACUGGUGAUAAAACUAGAACAACAGGUAAAACCUAGAAUUCUAGUGAAUAUCGAUAACUGAUGAAUAAAUCUAAACGAAAUGACAGCGAUGCGCCCGAAGUUAAAGCUUAGAUAUUACUCGAUAAACGGAACUUACAAAAUCGGCCAGAGAUCAAGUGAUGCAGCCCCGCCAACCCGUACGAACUCGUGAAAAGAAGAAAAGUACUGACGAAGUCGUCAACUCGAAAGUAAAGUGCGAGGAAAUAGUAGAUUGUUGUAUUGAUUUGAUGAUGAUUACAGAUCUCUAAAGAUGGCUAUUUAUAGCCUGUUACAACCAAUCUCUUAACCGACUAGGACUCUAUCUCUAAGUUUAAACGAAAACGAAUAUUUACAAGUAUGACUCGUAUCAGAGUUGAUUGCUGUGUUUCUGUGGGCUGACCCCUUUUAUCCUCGUAAUCCACUCUGAGCCCAUAUUGGCCCAACUAUUCCAGCCUCUCGAUCGGCCGAUUUACAUCAACUCCAUUCGCCGAAACACUGCAGCACCAAUCGGCCGAUCUCCAACUGUUGCACCAAUCGGCCGAUUCCCAAUCGUGACCUCCGUACCUCGCCGCAUCAGCUGAUUCUUUCCUUUCUUGGCGCCGAUUCCAUAUGUGUCAAAAUCUGGCGUCAACAACCUUUUUGGCGAAACACAUCUGCUGCGCCUCCCACGCCCUCACCUGUUGCAACUCGCGGACCUAGCAGUCCGGCUUGCGACGCUUCCUCCCUGCACGUGUGGAUACCUUGGAGGUGUUGCGCCUGCAGCACUUGGACGAGCCACGACGAGCCGCAGCACGAGGGCGAUCUUGCUGCACGUGGACGAGCUGCUGAGGAGCUGCUGGACGUCGACGUGAUCGACUACGUACGACUACGCUGAUCGACUUCGCUGCAUCGACGCGAAUCUACAUCUUCCGCAUCAGUGCGUCGAGUGGUAAUCCCGUGAUCCUUAUACGGCAGUUUUCCUGGUUUACGCGGUAGAAAUUUUUGAUUUGCUCUAGUGUAGCCUGCCUCGUAUCCCAACAACCCGCCCCUGCGCCCCUCCGCUCUUCCCGCACCAAUGCGCGCCCGCAGCAAGUCAGAGAAGGAAGAGGGAAGAGAAAGAGGAAAGGAGGGAAGGAAAAAAAGAGAGAGAGGAGUGGAGGAGGAGGGAAGAAAAAAAUGAAAGCAAGGAGGAGGAGGUGGAAGAGGGAAGGAAUUUCUUCCAUCUUUCUCAGGUAAAUUUUUUUUUAAUCUCGUAGUUUAGUAUAGUAUACUAUAGUAUAGUUUAGUUUAGUUUAGAUCUAAAUUUAGAAAUAUUAGUAGAUCUGAGAUUUAGAAAUAUUAGUAGAUCUGAGAUUUAGAAAUAUUAGUAGAUCUAGACUUAGAAGUAAUAGUGGACGUAGAUUUAGACUUAGAAACUUUUAGAUGUUUUUAGAUAGGAAAAAGUGGCUUAGUUAGUAUAACUUAUUUAGCAUAUACAGUAAAAUAGAGUCAACAUUAUUAGAUUUAGUUGUUAUGGUAAAUGGCUAGAAUAAAUGAGUUAUUAAAUUCUGAUUUUUUGGUUAGGUAUUCGAAUAGAGUUUUUGAUAACAAUAUUAGAUUUGUUUGUUCUGGUAACUGCGAUAAAUGUAGUGAGUAAAUUAUAACUUUUUGGUUAGGUAUUACAAUAUAGUUUUUCGGUAACAUUAUUAGAUUUAUUUGCUGUGGUGCAUGUCUAUGAUAAAGUUAGUUAGUAAGCUCAGUUUAGUGUUACAUAGUUAUUUGUUUAUUCAAUUGAGGUCGUUAUUGUAGUUAACUUAUGUAUAGUGCUGAGAAUAAUUUGGACUACCCAUUUCAUGUAUGUUGCCAGGCAUGUCGGAUAGUGUCAAUAUUCAAGUGUACUAUGAGCCGGGGGAGGUUAGAUAUGGUCUGGAAGGGGUAGAUUUGAGUGGAUUCCUCUAUUUCACCAAGUGUGUUCCAAGAGCAAGAGAGAGAACUUGGGGGGGCAUAUGCAAGUGGCUCUGUAGGGACUUAGGUGUUGACAGAGAUGAAGCGGAUGUGUCGGUGAGGGUUGUAGUGCAAAGACGGCCGGACAUAAACGAAGCUACUUGGGAAAAAGCGGAAGACCUAGAGUCUAAAUAUCCGGAGUUGUUUGAAACCAUCAGGGACAGAUGAACAAGGACCACCACCCCACUAUCCUUGUACAGAAAAAGAAAGGAUAAAUGACCUGACGCAGUUUCCUUUCCAUUCAAAAAACCAAGGAUUUAACCCCAGGAAUCUCGGGACGAGAUUCUGUUAAGGGGGAGAGGCUGUAAUAAAUGCCAUUCAUAAUAAUAUAGUAACCAUGAAAAAUUCAGAAGAAAAUUCAAAAGAAAAAGAAGGAAAAAUAGCAAAAGGGUCAAAUUCGGCCAAAUUUUGACCGAAUUUUGAAUUUCAAAUUUGAAAUUCAGAAAAAUUUGUCAAAUGUGUGGAAUACAAGUAUAAGAGUGUUUAGGACUAAAGGAUCAAAAAUUUGGAGUUAAGCUAGUGCUAAAUCUCUCAGAAGAAUCAGAGAAAGAAAAAGAAAAGAAAACUGCCGUUUACUGUUCAUCGUCCGAAAAUAGAGUUCCAGGAAAACAGCUUUAGAGUCUGUUUUGGAAAUUGAAUUCUGGAAAAAUUUGCAAAUAAGUGCAUCAAGACAACUACACUAUAUUAAAGUGUGAACCUUGGACUACAAGAUCUGGGUGUUGUUGGCCAGGAUCAAUAACCAGAAGGAAGUCAAAUUCAAGCUCAAAGUCAGCACAAACUCACAAGUAACUGAAAACUCUGAAUUUUUCUAAGUCUGGACAGCAGCAAGGCAAUAACUUGGAGCUUGAAUUCAGAACCAUUUCAAUCAAAAAGGGUACUCGUUCUUGAGCAAAAUGGAACAAUGGGACAAUGUAGAGUAUGUUUGAGGUGAAGUUGGACUAAGGGCAGAAGAAUUUGAUCAUGAAAUCAAGUCAUUAAGGGAGCUCCAUGGUACUGACGACGACUGACGAAACUGAAUGAAGGAUUCAGUGCAAUUCAGAAGAACUCGAGAAAACAAUCCAAAUUCCAUCAAAUUCAAUGUUUAUCUCGAACCGACGCCAAAAUAAAAGAUGACCAGCUCGAGUUUAUCUCCAAGUUCUGUUUAAACGUGGGAGGCCGUCGGAUUGCGAAUCGACCACCAAUGGCUUCUGAAGAUCGCGGGCGCCAGAAGACGGUGACUGAGCACCAGGACGUGUCGUCGCCGCCGCUUCCGAUAGCUCGCCAGCAUGACUAGCUAGGCCACCUCCUCACCACGCAAGCCUAGCAGUAGACCACGGUGGCAGCCAUGCGCGCGGUGAAAUCCUUGAAUGUUUACUGUUCCCGCGCCGCCGUUUCACCGUUUCCCCUUUUUACCGCCGCCCGCUCUCCUCUGAUCAGUAUAGCCGCCAAGCAAAAUUAUAUCUCCUCCCAGCAGCUCUCGUCGAUUCCUUCCACCCACUCCUCCACAGACACCCCAGACACACUCCGAGCUAGUUGUUGUCCCACAUCCUCGCCGGAAUAGUCGUGCCCGCCACUGUUUCUGUCCGCCGCCGUCGCGCCGCCCGCUCACGGUGAGAACCACCUUGCACUACCUUUCUUCUUCCUUGAGCAGUCGUGGUCGAGUCCUUAAGGUUCCAGGAUGGGGUAGAAGUAGUCGUUUGAGUCGGUUAAGCAGUGGUCACGGGUAACGAUGGCCCUACAGUUCAAUGUGGGGGGAAAUAUUCUUUGGGAGUACAGAGAGAAGGAGGUAUGCGUGGGGGCUGUGUACCAAAGUGGAGAUGAAGUGAAGGUGGCUAUUAAGAGGUGGUCCACUUUGUGUUUGCAGCGUCAGUUCAGGGUGGAAAAGAGUAGCCCGAACGUGUAUGAUGUCCGUUGUGUGCGAAAUGAUUGCCCAUUCAGGGUGCAUGCAUAAAAGGGCAAAUGGAAGGAUUACUGGGAGGUGACUAAAGUGGUUGAGCACCAAUGCUUGCUGGCUGAAUUGGAAGGAACACACCGCAACCUCACUGCUGAAUUUGUUGUUCAAUACAUGUACCCUCAGAUAGUGGAGAAUCCAAGCUUCGAGCCCAAGUCCAUUAUCUGUGCCAUAGAGGAGAAGUUCAAGUACAAGAUCAGCUACAACAAAGCUUACCGUGCUAAGCAAAAAGUACUUGAGAUGAAGUGGGGUACGUUCGAAGCAUCCUACGACAAUCUCCCUGCCUUGUUGCACACCAUUUGCCAGAGAAAUCCUGGAAGCUUCUAUGACUUGAAAUCAUAUCCAGUUCUUCAGUUUCCAGGCAAACAGGUCCUUCAGCGGUCAUUCCUUGCGUUGGGUCCUUGCAUUCAGGCUAUUCGGCUUCGUCGACAAGUCAUUUUCAUUGAUGGCACAUUUCUGACUGGAAGGUACAAAGGGACAAUAUUAACAGCUAUCGGGACCGAUGGAAACAAUCAGGUGUUGCUGCUUGCGAUCGCUUUUGUGGAGAAGGAGUCUGGAGAUAGCUAGUACUGGUUCCUCAAGAGGGUGAAGAACAUGAUAGUGUUGGACGUCGAGAGGGUCUGUCUCAUUCAUGAUCGGCACAAAGGCAUUAUACAAGCAAUCGACGACCUACAGAAUGGAAGUCAAGAGCGUUUCAGGGCGCCGAUAUGGCCGGACUUGAAGAGUAGGUGGUGCAUGAGGCAUAUGGGUGCGAACUUUCACAGCCAAUUCAAGAACAAGACCCUUACAAAAUUGUUCAAGCGACUGUGCAGCCAAAAUCAGGAGAGGAAGUUCAACCUGCUGUGGAAGAAACUUGAGGACCUCACAAAGAAGCGAUGCGAGGAACUAGCGAAGAGGGCGGUCAAUAGUGAGGCCGACCAACCUGUGUCUCUGGAGGAUGUCGGGCUCGACGGUCCAAACAUCAGGCGAAGACGGGGAACAUCCAUCAAGACCUUCUCACAGUGGAUUGAGAAUGAACCGAAGGAAAAGUGGGCAUUACUCUUUGAUGAAGGAGGUGCACGGUGGGGUAUAAUGACGAUGAACCUAGCUGAGGUUUACAACUAGGUCUUGCGCGGUGUUCGGGGCCUGCCCCUUGUUGGUAUUGUCGAAUUUUACCUUUACCGCACCAUGAAGUAUUUCAGGGAAAAGCUACCAAUUGGCUGAUAACUCAAUGCGCGACAACCACAUAAUAUUUGGGUACAAGAUGACAGAGUACAUGGAGGAAGCAAUUAAGAAAGCUCAUUUGUACUGUGUGAAAGAAGUGAGAGCCGUGGAACGCCGGUUCGAAGUUGUUUGUAGGGACAAAGUUCAAAUGGGCGGGAGGCGUGAGAGACACACACAUGAGUGCAUCAUAAGCAAUGAAGGUUGUGUUUGCUCUUGCCACAAGCCAAGGUUGCUGCACAGGCCUUGCACCCAUAUCAUUGCUGCAUGCUUCGAGGUGGGGGGCCUCCAACCCCGUCGUUUCGUGCCGCACUAUUUCCUCAAAGAAACCAUAUGGCAAACUUGGAGGAACGAGGUUUAUGGAUAUCGUUUGCUGGGAGACUUUGUCAAUAAUCCAGGUAAUGCCGCCCACUACAUUCCUGAUCCUGAUCCAGAAAUGGUCCAAGGAGUGGGGCGACGUGGGAAUAGGUGUAUCCGUAAUGACAUGGAUCAAUCUGAAGCUGGUCCUGAUGUCCGUCUAUGCUCCAAGUGCCACGAAGCCGGUCACACCUACAAGAACUACCCGGCAACGACGUAUGCAAGUGCUAGCACCCAAUCAGCAUCUAAUAAAUACUAAUGUAAUGCAUCUAACGUCCUUAGGUAGUGUAAUAUAAUGUUUAUUUGAUGGUGUGGAAAAGGACAUCAAGUAUUGUAAUAUUUAUCGUGGGCCCUUCUAUUUGUAUGGACUUGUAUGUGCCAUAGAGUUAUGAUGUUUAUUUGCAAUGUAACGUAAUGCAAUGUUAUAUUUUCUUUACGUGUUCAGUGCUUAUUUCUUUCAAUACUUGUGUUGCAGGUAUGGCAUUGCACACAGGUCCACAGGGGACCAGACCCCUGAGUUGCUCGACCCUACCUUGGACGGCCAGCACAGGUCGUUCCACUCGGCCAUAGUUGGUACUAACCUAGGCACGUUUCGGGCUCGUAUUCCGCUUGCGACCAUGCCGAUCGACCGAUGUUGGAUCCCGAGGUAGAAAUAAUUAGUAAUACUUGUGUGUUAAGUUGAAUGAUUAAUUUGUGUAAACUAAUUCAUUUAUUCCGUGGUACAGGUUGCGUGCGGCGGGCCUUCUUCCUGUGGCUAGGCUUGUGGAGGGCGACAUGGUCGACCGUUCAGCGCGACGUGGCCGCAAGAGACCCACAUGGUUGCAGUUCGACAUGUCACUGCUAGCAGCUUUGCUAGACCGGUGGCGGCCGGAGACACGCACCUUCCACCUCCCGGUCGGUGAGUUGACCCCCACACUAGAGGACGUCUCGAUGCUACUGGGUCUUCCUUGUGCAGGGGCCGCCAUAGCCGCGAUGGACGUCCUCCCGCCAGGCGUGACGAGCUGCUGGGUCGCUUCGCAGACGUUCCUCGCGUAGACGGUGCCCCCCAGUACACCACUUUCAGCAGCUCCCACAGCACGACGAAGUCUUGGCUUCAGUAGUUCAGUGUGAGUUUCUAAUUACCAGCAACUACAAAUAUUUUUUGACCAUUUUUUUAAUUAUUGACACAAGUACGAAAUUGUUUUGCAGGCUGAGUACAUGAGAGAGGACGCAGACAACGCCACAGUAGCGCGUCACUUGGAGGCGUACCUGCUGUGGCUCUUCGGCUGGACCCUCUUCUGCAUGUCGUAGGGGAACUCGGUGCCUAAGCACCUUCUUCCUUACGCGAGGGCCAUUGCGGAGGCCCCGCUCAACGAGGUUCCACAGUACAACUGGGGUUCAGCUGUGCUGGCGGCCACGUACAGGGGUCUUUGCACGGGCUACGUGAAGGUUACUUCGACGGAGCCUAUCUUCCUUGGCUGCCCGCUGCUGCUUCAGCUUUGGGCCUACGAGCGGUUCCCGAUAGGGCGACCUCGUGUGGACAUGUCCCCCUACCCUGGGGGUUUUGACAAGGACGACGUCAACAGACCCACGAUGGGGUUGUUGUGGUGCCUGAGGAGGGUAUGGUUCUUCCACUACUAUUUUUCGAUUCAUAUUACACUUUUGAAUUUCCGCGGUCCUAACUGAGAAAUUGUGAUUACAUUUCUUGCAGGCAGUUUGGACGGGGAUGCAGACAAAGAAGUCUUACCCGGACUUUGUCGGUAUGUUCGACGCUCUGGUUGACACUGACGUGAGGUGGAGAUCCUACAGCUUCGAGGAGGUGGAGGCUCGUGCCCCGCAUGGCCUGUCUUCGCUAUGCCAUCGGGACAUGGUGUACUGGAUGACGAGGAGGCCAGUAGUCUUCGACAUCCACAUCGAGGACUACACGGUUCACCGUGUCAUGAGGCAGUUCGGCCUGUACCAGGACUCCCCGCUUCUAGCAACAUCAGUGGUUCCGGCUUCCGUUCACAGGUACAGUCCAGCAUUUUCAUUCUUCUUGCAUUAAGAAUAUUUCGUUUAUGUAACUCGUGUAACGAUGGUUCCACUAGGGCUAGCCAUCAGGGUGGUGGUGGUGGUGGGCCUGGAGUCCUAUGGGCUACGAGGAUGGUUCACUGGGUCGCCCUGUGGGCGACCGCACUAGACGAGGUGGUCCAGGAGACCCGGCCACAUGACGUAGACGCUUUCGCAGCGUACCUUCGCUGGUUCUUAUCGAGGACCAGGACGCUGGUCCAGCACGUUCCGACAGAGCCACCGACGGAGACCGCUCGAGUCACCCAGACGUACCCUCGCGCGAGAGACGUCAACUACGACCAUGCGGUAAGCUACUUGAAUUUUUUUUGUUACUAAACUUGCAUCAUUUGGUGUGACUAACUUGAAAUUUUUUCGCUCCCCAACAGAUCGACCUUAUAGGGGAUUUGGACAGGCAGCUGACGUACAGCAUCGAUAACUUCCCCAUGAUGAAUUUGGUUCAGCAACGAUCGCUGCUUACGAGGGCUAGAGACGGCUGCAGGAGGUUCCUCAGUGCCGUUACCUGCCGUGGUGGGCACGGGGACGUCGUCCGUCCACCACGACCUCCGUACCCCCAUGCGUCCACUCCAGCUCCUACUCGGUAGGCUGGUACAUCCUCUCACCAGCCCAUUCGUCCGCCAGUAGCCAGCACCUCCUACGUCAUACCACCACCACCGCCGCCACCGUCUUGGCAUGCCACAGCAGGUCCGUCCACCGUUCCGCAGAUACAAUACGCAUGGUCCUCUUGUCCUUCUUCAGCUGCACUGGAGCUACGACCAGCACGUGCGUGAUGUAUACAUAUUGUAACUCCAUUUUAAGAACGCAACGAAACUAACAAAAUCGUUUCCUUUAUGAUUGUAACAGGCUACGUAGACUAGGGAUGGCAUUCGGAGGACUCGCACGACGAGGCAGCGAGGUCCAGCGGCAAUGCUUGGAUCGAUGACCUUUUCAGAGUGGACCCCAAUCUGCUCGGUCCCUCCAAGUUGGCAGAUGCCCUGGGUCCUACACAGGGUGCAACCUAGUUCCUCGAGACAAAACGGGUCCUACACAGGACGCGUCAUCCUAGUACCUCGCAACACCUCCUGUGGAGGGAGCGGGAGGACAUCCGACUCGCGACGUUCACCCGCCGGAGCCCUGGACGUACGACCGGCAGCAGACCAGAGCAGCACGGCGGGCAGCGAGGCGUGGUCAUAGUGCUGGCGAGCUUCGUUUCAAGCGAGGACACAUUUAGUGCGUAGGGUGACUUCUUAUUUUUUAUCAUUUGUACGAUUACGAUGUGUACGAUUAUCUUUAUGUGCGAGGACUGCUCUAUCUACAUAAUAAGUUAAAUGCUUUUCAUUGUUCGCGUGCGUUUACUAUACAAGUCUAAACAUUUCCCAAUUAAGAAUUAGAAGCACACAAUUAAAAUAAUCAAUAACUAUGAAUGAAAAUUGUGCGGCAAUUAACGGGGUGCACGCUCAAGCUUCCUCUCCCUCUCCUCCCUUUCCACAGCAAGAUGCCUCCUUUCCUCCAAUUCCUUGUGUUCUUUCUCUGCAGCCUCCUCUCUGAGCCUCUUCUCCAUCCUCUCCUUGCUCUCUGCCGCCCACUGCAACAUGUACUGCAUGUGCUCCUUGUCCUCAGGCUUGAUCUCAGUGUCAAUCCACUGCUCAAAAUCAUAGAGCGGUGGAGGAGUCUGCAAAAAAUGUAUUUAUUACAAAACAAAAAAAGCAUGCAAGAUGUCAUAUGGCACAAAAUAAUUAUUGCACGACAUCAAUUCCUCACCAUCUUGUUAAUGCGGUGCUGACAAAGUAUAGGCUCAAACGCAAAGUUGGAACACAUCCAAUACCUCUGCCUAUACGUGUCCUUUUCAUCGGACUUGGCUACCUUGCAAGGAUCGCCGCAAAAGCACAUGGGCACUGGAACACCACUAGGCAGAGGCAAACGGUCGAAGGCAUUUCCGGUCAACGGAACACCACUCCACCUUUACCAUUUUCGUUGUAAGAACUGGAAGCAACUAAGAUUAAAUCAUACGACUACUAGUUAAUGUACGGUUGAAUAACGUGAACUGAGAUUGCCUUGCUUUACCAGCUUUUCCACGCCUUGGCAUCCUACGAUUGUAUAAUAAAAAUAUUAAAAAUUCAUGAAAUUAUACUUAGUAAAUACUUCUAGAUGUAAAUACUAAACUAUAAACUGAAAACCGAAUGUACUAUACUAACUAAGCUACAUUUUUAACAUCUAAAAGCACACAACAUAUCUGUAGAUCUAAAUACUAAACUACAAAAUAAAUACCGAAUCUACUAUACAUACUAAGCUAGAUUUUUAGCAUCUAAAAGCACAAUGUAUUUUUAGAUUUACUAUACUACGAUAUUGAAAAACUUACCUGAAUCCUAGGAGAUUUCUUCCCCUUGUUUUCUCUCUUUCUUUCCUCCUUCCCUUCCUUCUAUCCCUCUCUGGUUCUCCUCUCAAAAACAACAGGAGAGCUGGGUGGCCUAGAGGCUUGGCUACGAGGGGGGGGGGACCCCUGCUGGGCCAGGCGGCGGUAAGCUAGGAGGCGGUAAGGGUCCUUACCGCCAGCCCAGGCGGCGGUAAGGACCCUUACCGCUCGCGCGCUGGCCGUACCGUGGUGGAGCAGGGGGACCGGGUCCUUACCGCCGGCCCAGGCGGCGGAAGAGACUUAACGCCGGCUGGGCCGGUGGUAAUGACAUGGGCCGGCGGGGUCGGCGCCUUACCGCCGGCUGAGGUGGCGGUAAGGCCCUUCCGCCGCCUGGGCCGGCGGCAAUAGCCCAAAUCUAUGAUUUUUCCAUCCGACUAUAUAUUUCUGCAAAAUCGAAAGAAAUAAUAUACAAAUAAAAAAAAUUCGCAACUGGGCAACUGCAACGACACUAGACGGCCCAUGGACGCAGUAAAAUGCAGAAAGGUCAUUCUGCGUUGGAGAGCACGGUAAAAAUUGAUGAUGGAUCCAGAAAAGAACAAGCAUCGCAUGUCGGUACGUCAAAGUAGCAAAGUUGCUAUCGUUGCUCCUUUUUCUUCCGACCUAAGAUUAGGUAUAUUCAAAACUAAGAAAAUUUUCACAGAAUAUAGAAAACCUGUGCCACUAGCAAUUCAUUAGAUUUUCUUAAAAAAAGAGCCAUACAACAACUUGUCAGGUAGGUGCAAAUUGGUCCAACAAAAUCUAGUACAAUAACUUAUCAGAUGGGUGCAGAUUGGUCCAACAACUUGUAAAAUGCUCAAUUUAGUGCAAUAACUUGACAAAUUGGUGCAUCUACAGUCCAAACGUUACAAUGAGAACGUAAUAAGCAAAGUAGAUGGGCAUGUAAAUUUUAUUCCAAUCAAUAAUUCUUAUUUUUUUGUCAAUAAAAGUCGUUGAUCGUAACCUGUCUGUUGCUACUCAAUUGUGUACGUAACUUAUCUGUUCAUUAGUUAAAAUUCAAUAAAAUUUUAGAAUUCCGCCAUUGGUAUUACUGAAAUACUAAAGUCCACAAGAGAGAUCAUGGGAUCUUAGUGUGACGACCGGCCCCAAAUCUUCCCAGUUAAUCUUAAUCCGAGCCCCUGAUCACCUGUCUAGUUUUCCGAGCCUAAGUGCUUAGCCUUCCGCCCGGUCCCGACCCCUGAGACCCGACCCCUCCCCGCUCGCUUCGGUCCCGACCCCGCCAAACCAGCCCACCGUCGGAUCCUUCUAAGUCUUCCUCAAACGUCCGUUCUAUCCACCCGGUGGACCCUUGAGAUCUUUUUCCCCCAGAUCUUCCACGACCGGCGCACUCGAGUUGCAUGCCCGCUUCAGAGUCGCCCCGCCGCGUGGCUCAUCUUCUCCGACGCCCGCCGCUCAGUUUUGUCUCUGGCUCGCGACCGAAUGGGUUCUUGCGCCCCCUUCCCCAAUGGCGACGGAAGCCCCUCUGCAACCUUUCUGCAGCACCUCGCCUCCCGCGCCCAUCAUCACACCGCCAGAUCCCGGCCGCAGAGCCCGAUGUUGCCCGUCUUUUCCGUCACUUCGAUCUCAGUCGCGCCGCCUGGUCUCCGCUACACGACGAUUCCUCUAUCGCUAACCCUGGCCACGGCAGCGCAGCUCCUUUUCCCGCCCCGUCAGAAGCCGCCCCGACAGAGUGUUGCUUCGCACUCGCCCGCGCGGUAGCAGCCUGCCUGUCUUCUCACCUGUGCGCUCUCGAUUCUAGCGCCGUUAAACCGGUCGCUUCUAUCAAAUCUUCCGCACGACGACGCCCGCCUCCGCCAAAUCUCAACCACCGGCAUACCCGCUCCUGCGCCGCCCUGACGCCAGAGCCCAAUGACCGCUGGCGUCAUCCCCGAAGUCCUGCACCACCGCCCUCGUCACUCAAUCGCCGCCCAGGCAGAGCACUCCAUUGUUCUUCCCCGGCCUUCGCGCCGCUCCCCUUCUCUCUCCCGCGCCACUUCCCUUCCCCAUUCCAGCAGCUAUAUAAAGGAAUGCGCAAGCCCGCCGGAGUUUCCCUUCGCCAUUGUUGCCUUCAGCCAUUCUCUUGCUCCCUGCUCAAGCUCCUAGCACUGCCGCUAAGCUCUUGAGGAACUCUCCCCUCGGCUUCCCUCAGUUUUCCCCAAACGACCCAGCCGUUUGCUCCUCAGUGCUGCGUAAGAGCUCACUUGUGACCCGCAAGAAGCAUCGCCGCCGCCGGAGCACUGCCAGUCUUAGUCGUUGUCCAAAGCUUAAGUCCCUCUGCCCAAGCCUGCCUCUUCCCGACCCCAAGCCUUCCUUUCAGGAAGAAGGUAAGCUGCCGACCCCAGUCCGCUUCGCCCGACCCCUCUUAUCCGCCCGACCCCGGUUCCGUCUCGCCCGACCCUAUCUGCCCCGCCGACCCUUAUCCGCCUCGCCCGAGGGCUCGGCUGUGAUCUUUUUCUUCAACCCGACGGUGUAUGUGUAAAACUUGGGAACCCUUCAGCGCUUGCGUCGGAGGAUCCCUAGUAUGCCACAUCCUCUAGUUCCAGGAUCAGAUCAUAAGUUCCUUUCCGACCUUUGCCUUUUGAUCUUCACCAGCUCUCUUGAACCUCCCCACCCUCCUGCUCUUUGUCGCAAGUUUCUGGGCUCAGGCGAGCCAAUGUUGCUGUUGAAAUAACCGUCUAUGCUAACUCUUGCAUUGCAUUCGUGUAGAGCUGCGCCUCGCCGACGGCUUCUACGAGCUGCACCCGGCGCCAGAAGAAGACGGUGUAGCCGAGCUCCUGCCCUCCGAAGCCGAAGCCGUCCCAGAAGUCGAGCAAUUCUCUUCCUCUUUGCUCGAAGGCAAGCCCCGGUUGCAUGAAAACCCUGUGUUGUUUACCAAACUUGCGCAUGCCUUCCUUAAAAAUGCUUGUGCAUUUACGUAUAGGAGUUGGUUGGAACCCUAGAUGCACGAGUUAGCUCCCAUGAUCUGAACACUAGCUGUUGGACCGAGUAGAUGCUUUGCUUAAAUAGGAACACGGUAAAAGUCGAGUGAUUUCCUGUCACUCGCGAGUUAUAGGAGUUGGAUGUCUACCCUUUCGGUUACACAUAUAAGGACGAUGGACGGGGCAGGGUUUUGGUAACUCUUUGGUGGACGGAUGGUUGCCCCGUCUGUCUAUGAAACUCGCUAAGGCCCGACAGUGGUGGUGUUCGUGAUCAAGUGUUUGAAGGUACUAAUCUCAUACCUAGUAUGGGCUGGGGAAGCCUAGUACCUGAUUGAACUAGGGCGUGGCUUAUACCCCUGCUGUCCCUGGAACGAGGUUCCCAUGGUGCAUCAUGUGGGUGCAAGUGCGGUCACAGUACGGUAGAGGCCGGGACUGUGGAGCAUUGCAUGCCAAGGGAAGUUUGGACCUGACACGCGCCUGGGAAUUGAUGGGGACGGCCGACACAGGAAGCGACCCUUGUGGCGCGCGGAUGUCGUGAGAUUAGGUUCGCCAUGCAUGGUUAAGCAACUCGAAUCGAUUCGUCUGCCUCUCACAGUUUGAGACUGCUUGAUCGCUAUGUCACCCUGAGUAAAUAAGGAAUCUGAUGAUGACAUGGUUUUGUUGAUGAUAUAUAUAUACCUUUGGUUGAUUCUAUGAUUGCUUAGAAUAGGUUGCAAACCUAGACCGGUUAAUGAACGUAGAACCGGAGCUAAAACUUGAAAGUAGGUUUUACUUAGUGCUUUUGGCAAACAAACCCCUUAGCCAAAAAGCCCUGCAUGUCUAGAAGGAGGAGUAGUUUUACUCCUAUCGGAUAAGUCUUGUUGAGCUUAGUAGCUCAGCCUUGUUGUGGCUCCUGUUUUUCAGGUGAAGUUGCUGCUCCCGACCCCUCUCUUGUUGGCGCUUGGCCGCCCCAGCUCCCGCCGGGCUGGACGGUCGAGUGGGAUCCCUCCUCGGACGGCGAGGAGAGGGACCAGUGAUGUCCCGGCUGGCCUCACCAGGACAUCCGACCCCGACGAUUGCUUCCGCUAGUGUUUUACCUUCUGUUGUUUUCCGAAAUCUUGUAAAACUCGGAUGUUCUUUUCGAACUAAUUAAUUUAGUCGUUAAAUUGUUAACUGGGUGGACUUGUUGUACUCUCUGGAACCGCUCACUUUCGUGUGAGUUUGCUAAAUCAGUCCUGUUCAAAGUGGUUAAAUCGGAGGAAAAUCCGACGGCCCUUCGUGUUUACUCGGCUUAGGCAUGAGCGUCGCAUAUCAGGCGACUAAAGCAUGUCUCACCCAGUAGAUCCGAAGGGGAUCCGCCACAUUUAGGUUUCUUUGGUGCCUAGGUUUCUUCGGUGUUUCUGCUCCUGUAUUUAACAAACGUAGAGAAGCUUGUAUGUUUUGAAUUUUGCUCAAUUUUACUUUCUAAACAAGUACAUUUGGCUUUAAAAAAUAUUUACACCAAAUUUUUAAAAGAUAUUGUUAGUAUGCAUUAAUAUAUUGGUUUUUUUAGCCGGAUAAAAAUGCAUAUAAUCAAAAUGUAAAACAUUGAGGGUGAACUUAUCAAUAUUGAUACGAAAUUAAAUAUUUCUAAUCAAAAUUUAAUUAUUAUAUAAAAAAUAAUUAAUACGAAGACAUACCAUUAAUUUCGUAAACAGUGAAGGUUACUCAUGCGACACAUAUCAAUGGUAAAAAUGCUCAAUAACUUUAUUCUGACGUGAAUAUCCUCUGACCCGUCAUUAGCAAAUAUGUUACUUGUUACAAUAUUUGGACUAUGGAUGCACCGAUUUACCAAUGUAAUGCACUAAUCUAAGCAUUUUACAUGUUCUUGACCAAUCUGCACCUCUUUUACAAGUUGUUGGACCAAUCUGCACCCAUCUGACAAGUUAUUGUAUUAGAUUGAGCCUUUUACACGUUGUUGUACCACUCUGCACCCACCUAACAAGUUGUUGUAUGGUGAAUGCAAUUUAGUGUUGUGGUUGAAUAUCCGCACAAAGAAAAAAAGCUCGAUAAUGUAAUAGAAAUGUUCCACUAGUGAAUAAACUUUUAUUGAAAAAAGAUAUCAAAAAAAAUUCCGAACCAAAGAGGAAAUUUGUUCUAAGAACGUAUCAUAAUAGUUCUAAGAUUUUAGGUCAUAACCUUUGCAUACUAGCGAGCAGUUCAGGUGCUGAACUGCUGUCUUGGAUACUGAUUGGAAAUGAAGAUUUCAUUGUGUAAGGAAUCUUAGUAUUGAUAGGCGCUACUCCCUUGGUAUCAAAAUAUUUAUCGUUAUUGUUUUUUUCUUGCAACCUUUAACAUUCGUCUUAUUCAAAAAAUUAUUAUAAAUGUACGAAAAUAUAAGUCGUGCUUAUAACACCUAUAAAAGUAAAGUAAGCCACAAACAAAAUAGACUAUCCUUACAUAAUUUUGAAUAAAAUGAAUAGUCAAACGUCAUGACCAAAAGUCAACAACCUAUUUCGCCACUGGGCUCAAUUGUGUAUCAUUGAGUUUUUAUCAAUACACGAAGAUGUUUAUGCCCAGCUUAUGAGCUGUCCCUCAGCAGAGGAUUUUAUUGAAUACCUGUUGAAUUCUUUUGGUGCAGUUGUUCUUGUUUCAGGUCCACGGACUCUUGUGUGCACUAGCACUUUCUUUUAUUUUCGUUUUCUUUCUAAUGAAAACUAAAAAAAGGGCCAGCUCCUUGUGUGCUUACACUUUUUUUUUAAGACCGGAAGCAAGCCAUCUCGCGUCUUUAACGAAAGGAAAGAAAAAUACUACAGGAAUUUAAGUGGACAAAGAUAUGAAAUGAAUCAUAUGAAAUCUUGCUGCCCGCUUCCACAUCUGAUUUAUGUCGUAAGCAGUUUUUGAACGUGCAGGUGUUGAAACUCAUGUCUAUUUCUCUUAAUAUUAAAGUAAAAAGACUUGUAGCUUUACCAAAAGUUCCUAGAAGGAAAAUAAAUAAAUUUCAGUGAGUGCUUAGCCAAAUUUUUUUGUUAAAAAAAGAUUUCCUUUUUUCUUUGUGCAAGCUAGCAGCCAUUGUCCCUCCGAUGGACUACUGCUUGCACGAAUCUUGACGAGGCAACUGAACAAGCAAAGUCGUGCUCGAGGGCAGGUUCAUUAAUCAGUACUGUUGACGCGACUUUUACAAAAGGGUUCUGAUCCCGUAUAUUCUGUCAGUGGCACUUCCGAUCUUGUACAAGGGAAAUACAGUGUGGGGUGUGACGACGAAUUUAGUAUUGUACUCAGCAGCAGAAAAAAUGGUGGAGGGAGUAAACUGCUACUGGUCUUCGUUACAAAAGUACCAACUCUCAUUUACCUGAAAUGCACAAAGGUUUAGAGUCAGCCUAGAUGAGAAAAAUUCGUUUCAAUUCAGGCAUCAAAUUGUGCUAGCAUGCUCAAGGACACUAGUUUGUACAUUUUCUUUGUAACAUAUCAACACAUUAAACAUUUGGAUACACAAUGGUGAAAUGUAGGAACUACUGAGUAGUGUUGUCAGCACAUAGGCACAUGUUACAAAGCAGACCAAACAUAACUUGCAUGUGCUGAUAGGAUAGUGUAACCUAUCCUAUCAGCAAAAAUGAUAACAGAGGCAACUCAAGUCAAAACUAGCUCGACUCCUUUUUGAAGCCUUUGUGACAGAGUCAGGAUAAAUGUCACAGGCUAAAAUGUUUACAUUAAAAUAAAAUUGCAGAUAAUGGUAAUGGUAAUGGUCAUGGUUGGUUUAGCUGAACAAUUCAAAGUUGAAAAACUAAAGCUUACCAUAAUUUUGGUAUUUCUUCGAGAAGUUAUAUAAAGCUUUCAUAAUGGCACCAUAUUUCAUUGAUUUUAGUGGUCCCAUAUGCCUGCAAAAAGAAAAUUUUAGAGAUCUCUCAGUUGUCGAAAUAAACUAUCGAUGCUACAUAAUUUCUCAAUCAGAAACCAGAAAGAUUAAUUAAUGUGUUGGUGGAAAACUUACAUAAUUUCAGUAUACCGUAAUCUCCAUGCAGGAAAGCCAAAAUGACAUCUAGCAGGACCAUACAUGAGAAGAAGAUCAGGUUCUGGUCCACCACAACCUAAGAUGAAACCAGAACUUAGAUUCUCCUUGCGUUAUGAUAAUAUAGUAAUCACUAACCAAUGAUAAAUAAGUAAUAUCAAGCAGAGCAUGCUGAAACAUGAAAAGGAAAGUUUUCCAAGCAUACCUACAGCUUUCAGCGCACUGGCCAUGUCAGCUUCUGUAAAUGUUGGCUCCGUUUUGCCAUCUCCAUGAGUAUCACCAUUUAAGUAAGUUGAGCAAAGUAAAUUGGCUGCUUUAGCAAUACCCUCCUUGCCAUCAGAACCAGAAAGACACUCUAUUGCCAAAUCCUUGUGGCUAGAGUGUGAAAUGCUUGCACUAAUACCCUACAUGUUGCCAUGAACAGUGAUACAUAUUAACAAUAAAAACAAUCAACAAGCCAACUAGCAGAGAAUAUGCACAAAGUAAGGGAAGCUUAAUAUCGUAAGUUACCAGAUAUUCUCUUACCUUCCCAUCUCUUGAACCCUCCAUAGCCGGUUCAAAUGAUUUCUUCAUGACUCCUAUGAUGCAACAUAUAAUAGUAAGAUAAUAAAUCUUAUGUGUGCUAGAUAGAGCCCACGGGUCUCGAGAAAAAAAGAGAGAGAGUACAUGCAUCUAUAACUUAAAACAUCAGAAGACAAUGCCUAAGAGCAACAGGGCAGUUAGUUUUGUUCACUCUGCCACUAUCCCAACUCUCGAGUAUUGUAACAGCCCAGUAUUGCUGCUUAAAAUCACUUAAGCAUGUUCAUUUACAAAAAAGAAAUUAUCAUAUAGGUAGAUUAGCAACCAAGGAUGAACUUCAAACUGAAAUCACAUUAUCAUAGAAAUUCAAAUGAUGAACUUAUUAGUCUUACCCUCAAUGUCGUAGAGACAUAUAUACUUCACACCCAUAGUUGAGAGCCAGCACAAUAGCUGCCUGAUCUUCACGGUAUUUUUAGCUUCUUUGCUAUCCACCACAAUAGCCAGGUACUUCAGUCGAUCCAGGUGGAGGUACCGAUACUUCCGCAACAACCCAGAUGAAAUAAUAUAGCAUUCUAGAUUAUAAAUCAGAAGAGACCAUAAAUUAAAAAGCCUGAUUGCCAAGUGGAUGAUGCCCCAGAUCAGCCCCAAAAUGAGCUUAAGACUAAUAGAUGGUCUAGACAUCUGCACACAGAGCAAUUACAACUUGUCAUGCUCUCAUUUCUGUGAUCAGGUUAUGCACUCCACGGGAUCACAGAAAUAUAUCUAAGGAAAUACAAAAAAUGGUAGUAAGGUUUAGAUUCUAACUCUCAACGCAUUCAGAUAAUUUGAUGUCAACAUGCAUUUACUGUUCUGGCUUGCAUAACAGCAGCUGAUAGAUGUACACUUGUCACAUUGCAUCAUUCAUAUUGCUUAUGCACCCUAGUGUUAGUUUAUAAUUUUCAACUCUUGAUUGCCAAACAAACACAUGAUAAUGGAGAACAUGGCUGAACCUGAAAGAAAUUAUUUUUUUAUUAAAAAUAAAUUGCUCACUCAGUACUGUUAUAGUAUUAUGUGCAUGGACUUGCAGCAAUUAAGCUCAGGUAACCACAAAAGCAUGAUUGAUCUGAACACCUAAAGUUUCAACAGAGGUUAUUGCCUUAUUGGGCAUGGCAAAGUAUGACUCAUAUAAAGAAAUUGCACAAUAAAAAUCAACGGACAAGGUUUAAGAACUAGACACUGAUCCUCCACCUGGAUCGACUGAAGUACUUGGCUACAGUUGCAGAAUCAGUUGCCGGUGCUGCUGAAUUGGAUGGCGGUGUUACUGAAUUGGCUGCAACACAUCGUCGAGUUUGAGGAUGAGAACCCACAGAUUGAGAUGCAGCAGCAGAUUGAGACCCACUUGAAGCACCAGGAGCUGACAUUGCUCACUUCCUUACAAAUGCAAAAAGGCAAACACACAUCAGUUGAGUCUCUGUACUAGUUUUGACACAGAUGAUGCAUGAAAUUCGAGAUCUAGGGAAGGGAUGUGCCGUCGUACCUCCUAGACUGCUGGAAUCGCGGCUGGGUGGAGGAGCAGGAGGCGGGGUGUCGCCGUGCCAGGGUGGAGCGGGCGGGGUGCCGGGGACCCGGGGUGGUGCGGCCGGGGUGCCAGGGACCCGGGGUGGAGCGACCGAGCGGGCGGGGUGCCAGCUAGGUGCGGCGUGCGGGGCCAGGACGGCGGCAGGGCGCGGCCUCGCGGGACGCGUGCAGGAGAGGCCGCGCGGGACGACGGCGGGGUGGGGGUGCGGGGGGUGACUGGGUUGGUGCGGAGUGCGGUCGGAUAAGGAUGCUGCCGAGUUAUAUACUAGGGUUGCUAAUGGGUCUUUAGUGGGCCCAAUGGUUUCGGGUCUCGAUGAAGCUCCAUGCAUGAUUUUAAAAGCCCACCCCAAACCCGCGCUAUUUUGGGUAACCGUGGAUAAAAAUUAGGAAUCAAAACUGAAACCCGUGGACCCGACUCGCGGAUAUCCGCCUCGACACCAAUCUGUAUUGUUGUAAAAUGUGUAGCUAUUUAAGUAUUUAUUUGUAUAUUUAGUGCUACACUAUGAGCAUCUUAACCGUCUAGUCGGUCAUCUAGAUUGUGUUGUUGAAGUAUAAAAAAAUUAUCCACCUUUUUUACAAUAACAGUAACCUUUUAGGUUGAGUCAGACGGUGCAUGCAAGCUCAAUAUUGUGUAGAAGAAGAAAUGAAGUAGAGACCAUAGAAAAAAGUUAAUGCAUAUAUGGGACACAUCAAUACAUAACCAUACAUUUUUUAUGCUAUUUAGUGAAUUGAUUUGAGGAUAGAAUGGAAGAAUAAAACAACAUUUUUUUACCUCAGGAAGGUAUGCCUUAUUUUUUUAUAAUUUCUUGAAAAAUAUAGUGCAACUAUGAAAACUUUGCAGCUAUUUAAGUAUUUAUUUGUAUAUUUACUGCUACACUAUAAGAUGUCUUAAUCGUCUAGUUGGUCAUCUAGAUUGUGUUGUUGAAGUACAAAAAAAAUUAUCCGCCUUUUUACAAUUCAAUAACCUUUUAGGUUGAGUCAGUCGGUGCAUGCAAGCUCAAUAUUGUGUAGAAGAAGAAAUGAAGUAGAGACCAUAGAAAAAGGUUAAUGCAUAUAUGGGAGACAUCAAUACAUAACAAGACAUUUUUUCUCUCACCAUCAGACUAACUGACAAAGUGAUAAUAAAUAACACAUGCAACUUAAAGAAGAUGCAGAGACUACCAAAUUAAAAAUUUUGGAUAAACAUUGGCUUCCAGGAAAGAAAAGGGGAAAAAGUCUAUAUUAACCCAUAACUAGGUGAGUGCACGUGCGGCACACACUAAAAGUAAACAAGAAUUUUAUAUUCAUAAAACAUAGAUACAUGCACCAUGGACAUAUUCAAUAACAAAAAAAAUACCCAUAUAAAAAUAGAAAAUAUACGGAAUUUAACAUUACUCGUAUACAAUGCUAAGUGUUGGACCCCAAUCACCUAGUUGGAUACCAGCAAGCUGCAAAAUUUGUGUCAUUCGUAGUGGUACUGCAGUGAGUUUUAUUCGUUAGGAAAGAACAGCCAAAUCAGAGAAAGUAACUUAUUCGCAUGUUCUUGUCAAGAAUGCUAAUGCUAGGGUUUCUAUCAUGUUUGAGAUUAAUUGGAACAUGUGAGAUUGUUAUGUCAAUAAAUAAUCAGUCAGGUGACAAUAGAAGGAAAAUUCAGAAGAUAGUACCCAAACCUUUAAUUGCAGGUGGAGAUGGAGCACAAAAUAAUCUCUUUUGAUCAAUCACAAGUAUUAGCAAUGAUAGAGGAGGGGAUCGGCUUACACCCAAACCUCAGCACAGAAGCCUUUCCACCCAUGCCCAUGUUGUGCAAAUCAUAUUUGCAUCCUGUGAAGUUGUAGGCAGGUAUGCCUCAACGUGGAGGGCCUGGCUGGCUAUGGCGCCAACCAGGGAGUGGAGGCGAGGCCGCUACCCGGUGACGAGUGGCGGUCAGGGAGCGGGGACCAGGAACGACAAAUGUGACCGCGGCCCAGCGAGACCUUAGCGCAUGCUCCAGGCGGGUGUGGCACCGCGUGGUGACGAUAGAAAAACAGAAACAGCGGAAACAUUUUAGAAAGCAUCAAUCUUUUCUGCUUUCACAUCCCUCUAACCUGCGCAGUAGGUUCAUUGCGAGGGAAAUGUUUUCAAAACUACUGGAUCUUUAUAGUAUAGAUUUUGACACGCUGAAAUUAAACUCCAAAUUGAGGGUGCUCUCUCACUCACCUUCUAACAAAGAAGCCCAUGUUCAACUCUAAUCACGAACUUCUUCUUCAAAGAAGAAACUCUAAUCAACAACCCCAUUUAAUUUCCCAGCGCUGUUGAGACGCCAUUGGAGCACGUACGAGGCACGCCGCGACCUCAUCGGCUACCCCAAAAGCCAAAGAGAGAGAAAGACCUAGAGAGAGAUGAUGAGCACAGUGGCACAGUGUCUUCAGUCUCUCUCACUGCCAGCGAGCAGGAGUAUACUGACGUGAAGCUUUUCUUGUCGCCAUGGGUGAGUAGGCUCGUCGCCAUUGCUGCACCGUUGUCCUCUCUGCAGGAGUACUCUUUUGGUUGGGGGCUCCUUUUGCUCUGCGGCCUCCACGUUUGUACUGCUGUCUCGAGCCCUCGACGACGACGGCGGUCCAGAGGACUGCAUGCCCUGUCGUUUGCUCAGUGACAGCCGGACGGGAUCCUAGCGGGAUGGGAUUCGAUGCGAAAUCAAAUCUGAUAGUACCUUUUAUUAUAUUAUAAUUUGAAUUCUAAUAUGAAUUCAAAUAUUCUUCAUUUAAAUUCACAAGGGGGGCCUCGGGCCUGCAUGAUGAGCAGUGGCGGACCCAGGAUUUCAGAGUAGGGUAUGCCCAUUGCAAGAAAAUAUUUAGACGAACGACAUAAAAAGUUCACAAGGGAAUAAAUAAAACAUACAUAUAGUUCAAACUAAAUGUAUUCCAUAACAAACUGUGAUUAUAAAACAUUAGAAGAAAAUUACAAUUUAAUUUUAACUUUCCGAUCCCUCAUUGCUUGAUACCGAUUGAUGAUGUCAUUAUCUUUGACUUGCAAAAAGAACUGACGCUCAAUAAAGGUUACCAAACAAUCAUUCAAGUUCUGAUCUCCCAUCCUAUUUCUCAACUUGUUCUUCACAUGAUUCGUUAUUGAAAACACUCUCUCUACGGUAGCAGUUGCUACAGGUAACACUAGCACAAAUUUGAGAAGUCUGUACAGAAGAUCAUGUUUGUUGUGCUUAUUUGUCUAAAUCAAAUGUCAUUUUUGACUUCUUCAUGUCAACUGUGUGAGAUUGAAAUGCAUCCACUAGCAAUUUUGAUACAUUGAGCAGUCAAUGUACACAGAUUGUCAGAUUGAGCAAUGAGCAGUCGAUUUUGAUUACCUCGCGGAGUCGCGGUGGGGGCCGGCCGGCCGGGGGCAGCAGGCAGUCCUGGUGGGGAGGGGGGAGCCGGGGAGGGGCCGAGGGGGGGCGGGCGCCUGGCGGGGCGGCGCCGCGGCGGUCUGUGCGCCGACACCGGCGCGCCGCCCGAGUGGAGCCGUGGAGGGACGAGGGGUCUGGAGGCGGCGGGCGGCCGGGAUCUCGCCGCGGGGGCCGGGGGGUGCGGGGCGGCGCCGCGGCGCGGCGGACGGGGCGACGCCGCGCCGGAGCACGGGAGCGGGGAGCCGCGGCCCGCGGGGGUGGAGCGGCGUCUGGCCAGGCGGGCGUGCGCCUUGCCCCGUCGUGCGGCUGUGCCUGGCGGCGGUAGCGGUAGGUCAGGAGACAGGAGCUCGGGACAUGGGGUGACCGGUUGAGUGCGGUGGUGGGGGGGAUCAGUGGCUAGAUGGGCCGAUGGGCUGGCUGGCCGGGGGUGACCUGCGGGCCGGUUUGGUUUGGACGCGAAUUGGAGUCCAAAAUAGCUGUGAAUAUCAAUUUUAACACCUAAACUAUAUUAUACAUAUAUAUACCUAUGAAAACUACUAAAAAAUUUCAAAAUAAUGUUGGGUAUGCCCGGAAAUACCCGGGCACAACAGUGGGUCCGCCCCUGAUGAUGAGGCGUCCGUGCUCCGCACUCCACUGUGCUGUGCACACGAUAGUCAGAGUCAGAGAUAAGCAAACUGCUUCAACGUGUACUUUUGUUUUACCUAUUACCUGUCUGGGAGGAAUCGAAAUGGGCAUAGCUUUCGAGUCUUCCUAGGUGCGUUUGGUUUGAGGACGAAGUGGGAUGGGACGGGACGAUCCCACUUUAUCCCAUGUUUGGUUUGGAGACAGGUGGGACAGGAACAUCCCUAUGAGGGAAUAUACCCUCCAGAUGCGGGAUGCUCCCAUCCCACCAAAACGAGCGGACGGGGGCAUCCCACUUCGCCCCCGUCACGCGCCGUCCGUCCGCACCCACGGAGGGAGCGAGGUUGGGCGGCGGUCAACUGCCGGCGAAGAGGCAGAGCUUGGGCGGGGGGAGCCACCGGCGCGCGCGAGAUCCACCACGGCCGACGCGGGCGAGCUCCGCCGCGGCCAGCGCGGGCGAGCUCCCCCACGGCCCCUGAGAUCCGGUGGGCGGCAGCUCGAGGGCGGCGUGCCCGGGGCAAGCUCCCCCGACGGCGCAACGGCGAGCCCAAGAACGGUGCCACGAGCGAAACCGGGGUGGAGGAAGAAGAUGGCAGUUAGUAUGAUAGGUAGGCCCCACGAACGGUGUUUAACAGAAGGAGAAAACAGUACUCGUCCCGUCUACAACAAUCUCUCCAACCAAACAAAAAAUUAGGAAGGACCCAUCCCAUUUAACCAAACAUGAAAUGGGAUCAUCCCAUCUGGAAAAACUGGAACGGGACCAUCCCGUUCUACAUUGUCUCCCAUCCAAAUACACCCCUAAUUAGUGUGCUAGGAUGGCUUCUAGCCAUCCAUCAGUUCCGAACAACCUCCGAACUUUCCACUUUACAACUUUCUUUUUCUAAAUAUUAUCCUUAUACACAUAAUUUCAACGCAUAACUUUGACAAUUUUUUAUCAGAUGAUUUUUUUAGCACGACUUUGAUUGCGUGUAGAGUUGUGCGUACAAUUUCUACGUGCCAUUUUUGAAAGAAUAACUUAUACACACGAUUUGUACGUAUAAUUUUUUUCUAACAACAACUUACGUGAAAAUAUUUGUAGUCCAACUCACACGAAUAACUUCUGCUAUAACUUUACAAGAAUGUUGUUAAAUAUAACUUAUACGUGAACACAUUUACUUGAAUAUAACUAAUAUGAAAAAAUGAUAGAGAAAAAAGGAAAAGAAAAAACCUCGCGGGGGCAGGGGCAGCAGCUGCGCGAUGGGCCCCCCGGCCGCUCGCUGCCUCGCCUCACGCGCGCGCAGGCCAAAUCAGUUUCGCAAAAGCUUUCUCCGUUCCCUGUUUGAUUGACUCACUUUGACAUGGGCUAGCUUAUGUGAUUUAUAGGCCCGUAGACUUCAUUGGCCCAAAUAAUUGUUAUCCGUGCGCGGCCCAUUAGACUCCUGCGUCUCUCACUACUACGAAUUCGUAGUAUACAUACAAACCACUUCGAGUCUGAUGAUGGUCUUACAAAAUACUACUCCCUCCAUUAUAAAUUGUAGGUCAUUUUUGUAUUUUAAAAUUUGUAGAUUUUUCUACACACAUAAAUAUAUAAUCUGUCUGGAUACGUAAGUUAAAACUAUGAAUCUAGAAAUACCAAAACGACAUGCAAUUUGGAACGGAGGGAAUACCUCGUUCGCUUUCAGUACAGUAGAAAGAACCAUUCAGUGUAUACUGCUGCCAUGGAUGCACAGUAGAGGACACCCACACUAAAAAAUAGAAGUUUAAUUAGCCUAAAGAUCAAUUAACCCCGCCACAUCUUAAUUGUUAUCCGUCCUCCGCCACGUACUGGUAUAAUGUAUUAUAUGUUCAUUUACCACAUGGUCGCACUAGGCUAGUGAGAAACCAAGCAUGAUCCGUCACUUUCAACCCGCAGCGCGUAGCUAGCUUCGAAAUCCAUAAGGCCCCGUUUGGGUUCAAGGAAUUGGAAUCUAUUUAAUGGAGUAGACUAAUUUAUGUUGGAAUGUGGCAUUCCACAACUUUCCAAAGUCUAGGUAUAAGCCUAUCUUAAAUUCAUGGGGUGGGAGAUGGAAAUUGAUUCUAUAGAUUAUGGUUAUUAGAUGGAAUUCAAUUCUUAUAGCACGCUCUUAGACUCGCUUCUCUAUAGUAGAAGUGCAGCAUACAAGUAUCUCUCCCAUAUCACCAACUAUAAUAUACAACUAUAUUCCACAUACAAUUAUAUUAGCUUAAUUAAUUUGUGUCUAAAUUAUGAUUAUUAGGAUGGAAUUCAAUUCCAAUGAUCCAAACGGGGCCUAAAAGGUUCUAAAAUUUUAUAGGAUAAAUAAAUUAGAUCAAACAUAUGAGUUUAAUCCAAAAAUUGAUUUCCCUACCAAAGUGUUUUCGAUGCACCUAGAGCUUCAGCUUCAAAAAUUUACGGAGCGUGUGGCCCGCCCCAAACAUUCCUUUUUUAUCUAGAGCUGCACCGUAUUAUAACUUACCAUACGUACUCCAUCCAUAAAAAAUAUAAAGUGUCUUAAGUCAAACUGGUAUAAAUUUGAUCAAGUUUUUAGAGAAGAGCAUUAACUCUAACACAUCAAAUAAGUAAAUUAUGAAAAUAUAUUUCAUAAUAAAUAUAACUAUACUCAUUUAGCAUAUCAUAAAUAUUAUUGACUUUUUCUAUGGAUCCGGUCAAACUUAGAAUAGAACAAACCAAAGUAACUUAUAAUUCCAGCAAAUUAAUCUAAACAACGUCGUUUGACUAUAAUGACGUGCAAUAAUUAGUAAUACGUACGUACGUGCAAGUCUUCCAUAAUUUUGCGAACUCGAGGCAGGUAGCUCCAGUGAACCUGGUCUGCUCUGAUCCAAUCUGCGGAAUCUAACAACCGACACGAUCCAACUUAUGUAUAAAAGAAUACAGGGGCCGCCGGGAUAAGUGGAUAUGCUAUCGCAAAGAGGAAAAGGCCGAGCUUGAAAAAACUGAAAAUGGAGCUUGAAAAAGUGAGACGCGGUCCGCUAACACAUGAAUCAAUAGCAGCACAAAAGGAGAUUCUCUUGCGGCUUGAUCUUUUAUUAGAACAGGAAGAAAUCUUUUGGGUACAAAGAGCCAGGGCGAAUUGGCUUAAGCAUGGAGAUCGUAAUACAAUUUUUUUCCACCACUAUGCAUCGACUCGGAGGAGGAAAAAUUUUGUUAAGGGAUUAGUUGAUGAGUUUGGGGUAAGACAUGAGGAUGCCGGAGAGAUGAAGAUGAUGGUUAAAGAUUAUUUUACUGAUCUCUUUACGUCUGAAGUGCAUGAUGUUGAUCAGGGAGUUCUAGGGGAUAUGAAUUGCAGGGUAACGGCUGAUAUGAAUCAACUUCUUCUCGCUCCUUUCUCUAGGGAGGAGGUGAAGAAAGCUCUUUUCAGUAUUGGUGAUCUUAAAGCCCCCGGAGGUUUACAUGCAAUUUUUUUCAAGCGUUUCUGGAAUAUGUUGGGAGAGGAACUGACUGAUGAAGUGUUGCAAGCAGUGAACAACUCAACUAUCCCAGAUGGAUGGAAUGACACUACAACUGUGAUGAUCCCAAAGGUGGAGAACCCAGAUAAAAUUGGUCAAUUCAGACCAAUUUCCCUAUGCAAUGUGGUCUAUAAGGUAAUAUCAAAGCUUUUAUCAAGUAGACUAAAAGUGAUUUUACCAGAUAUUAUAAGUGACCAUCAAAGUGCUUUUGUUCCGGGGAGGUUGAUUACUGAUAAUAUUUUAUUAGCUUAUGAGUGCAUACACUCAAUGAAAAGGAAGAAGGGGAGUAGAGGAUUAUGUGCUGUAAAAUUGGAUAUGCAUAAAGCAUAUGACAGAGUAGAGUGGAUUUUUCUUGAGAAAAUGAUGUUGAAACUCGGAUUCCACCAAAGAUGGGUAAAGAUGAUUAUGGCUUGUGUUACAUCGGUCAAGUACAGGGACCGAUUCAAUUCGAUGGAAACUGAUACUAUUAUACCUACAAGGGGUCUGAGGCAAGAUCCAUUGUCACCAUAUCUUUUCCUGAUAGUGGCAGAAGGUUUAUCAUGUAUGUUGAAGGGUGCUGAAGAAAGAGGGGAGUUGGAGGGGGCUAAGGUGUGCAAGGCAGCCCCGGUUAUUUCACCUCUGCUCUUUGCAGAUGAUUCGCUCAUUCUAAUGCAUGCCGACAAGAAGAACGCAGAUUGUCUGACUGAUAUUCUAAACAGAUAUUAUGCUAAUUCAGGGCAGAAAGUUAGUGAAGCAAAAUCAAGUAUUUUCUUCUCAAACAAUACCAAUGUUGAUGUCAAAGUGGAGGUUUGUGAAGCUCUGAAUAUUAUGACUGAAUCCCUCAGUGAUAAAUAUUUGGGUUUACCGGCGAUGGUGGGGGCAGACCGGUUUGACUGCUUCCAUCAUCUGGUUGACCGAGUGAACUCUAGAAUAAAUGGGUGGAAGGAGAAGCUUCUUAGUAUGGGUGGUAAGGAGAUCCUGAUAAAAAUAUAUUGCUCAAGCUAUCCCAGUGUAUACGAUGAUGGUGUUUAAAAUUCCUAAUAAAAUUUGCAAAGGAAUAAGCAAUGCCAUUUCGCGAUACUGGUGGGGUGAUGACAAUGAUAAAAACAGGAUGCAUUGGCAAGAAUGGUGGAAAAUGUGCAUGCCUAAAGGCUCGGGAGGAAUGGGGUUCAGAGAUAUUCAAUCUUUCAACCUGGCAAUGUUGGCUAAACAAGUGUGGAGACUAUUGAGAGAGCCUGAUUCAUUAUGUGCUAGGGUACUAAGAUCUCGUUACUAUCCGGAUGGAAAGUUACUAAAUGCAAAGAUGAAAAGUGGUAGCUCUUAUACUUGGCAGAGUAUCUUAGCGGGCCUUGACUGUUUUAAGCUUGGAUACAUCUGGAGGGUUGGAGAUGGUACACAAAUCAACAUCUGGAAAGAUAAUUGGAUACCGGGCAGCCAUGACAUGAAAGUUCAGACACGAAGAGGGAAUAACUUAGUAACCUCAGUAGAUGAGCUUAUCAACCCAAUGACUGCAUCUUGGGAUGAGGAUCUGGUACGUGUUAUACUUGAGAAUGAUGCAAAUUGUAUACUACAGAUCCCCAUUACGACAGGAAGAGAUGACUGUGUUGCCUGGCAUUAUAACAGAAAUGGCCUGUUCUCCGUGAGAUCAUGUAACGCCCGUAAAAUACACCCGGUUAAAUCACCCGUUAAAAACACUUUCCAAAAUUUUUCCGACCGCCGAGCUCCGUCAAGUCUUUUCCCUUCCGUCGGACCCGCCGUCCUGGCCCCGACCCGUCAAUCCUCCAUUUUCCCCUCCCCGUAAAUUUCGCCGCGUGCCCGUCAAUCCGUCACCGCGCGCAGUCGAAUCCCGGAAUUUCCGCCGUCUUUUUCCCCUCCCUUCCCUCUCCUUCUCUUCCUUCUUUCUUUUUCUUCCUCCUUCUUUUCCUUCUCCUUUUUCCUUCUCCUUCUUCCUCCCCUUUCUUUUUCCCUUCUUCUCUCUCUUCUUUACUCCCCUGGCUCCCCACAUGCGCCGGCCCCCUCCCCUGCCCGGCACGGGCGCCGAGGCGCCGGGCCGCGCACGCGUGCGCUGGGCCGCGCGCCGCGUCGGACCGCGCGACCGCGCGCCGCGCCGCGCCCGCGCCCGCGCCCGCGCCCGCGCGCGCCCGCGCCGCCCGCUCUCGCGCCGCCCGCUCCCGCGCCGCCGCCCGCGUCGCCCCGCGCCGCCGCCGCGCCGCCGCCGCGCCGAGCCCGUGUCGCGCCGCGCCCGCACCGCGUCACGUCGCCCGUACCGUGCCCGCUCGCGCCUUGGCGUUUAGCGCUUGGCUCGGUGCGUCGCGUCGUGUCGCCGGUCACCGGUCGCCGCCCCUGUGGCCUCGUCGACCACGCCGCCACGCCGUCCACGAGCUUCACCACUCCGGCACGCCACCGGCCAAGAGUCCGGCCGCCAUCAUUACCUCGGCCCUCGCCCGCCGCACGCCGCCUAUAAAAGGAGGGAGCCGAGCCUCCACCUCCACACCUUCACCACGAGCACCUUGCCUUUCCUCACUCCCACCACCAGAACGCCGACGGCCAUUGCUCCCCUCAAGUUUCUGGUUGUCUCCAGGAAGAAGAAGGGGUAAAUCCCUCUCCUCGCGAUCCAGCCCACUAGUUUCCCUUAUCCGCGAAUAGGCCCUUCCACCAUUCCAAAAAUAAUUACAGAUAGGUCCUUACUCUCGCGGUUCAGUCCUAAACCCCAUUUUUUUUAAAGCCCCUAAUACUCCUUUAACCCGUCAUUUCAUGCGCCAAACUUCCUCCAAUCCACCCCAAAUUCGACCACAGCCUCCUCUCAUAUAUUUCCGCCGAGGCAUAUCAAAAUCCCACGAAAAUACCCUUCCUACCUAUUUUCCGUUCAUGUUUCCUGUUCGGAGCUCAUCGGGUAAAACCCUUUUUCCUUUUAUUUAUUGUGUGCUCGUUUGUGUGUGCCGUAGAUCGCGGAGUACCUGAGGAGGAGCGCGAGGAGGAAUUCGACCGCGAGCCCGAGCCCGAGGACCAGUACCGCGAGCAGGAGCUCCCGGAAGGCUUUGAGAACGGCAAGUCCAAUCUCACCCUUUGAUGCAUAUUUUAAUACCCAGUUUUUCAGACACAACCUAUUGGCCUGUUUUAUAAAAUGCAUAUUGUUUUAUCGCAAGACAUGGUUGGAUAGCCACCCCUUGAUUGUUAUGACUAUUCCUUGUUGUCCCAUAUUUAUCUCUAAAUAUGAGUUGCUCUGUUUAGAUGAUAAAUACUGCUAGAAUGCUUAGGAACUCAUCAUCCAAAUUCAAACAUGACUACACCUGUUUACUCGGAAAAUAAUGUGUGAGUAUGUUUAACUGAGGAGUUGGGUUUUCGGGUGUUAAAUGAGGUGGUGGAUGAGAUGGAUGGGUGUUUCUUGUGUGGAACUCCGGAUUGUCAGGCUCGUACCUCAGUGGUUGAGCAGUGUGGAGAUAUCCAUCUUGUCAUGACUAAGGACCGAGUUGAUGUGUCAUCCUGCCUAAUUCCAUCAUCGUACAACCACUCGACCGUUGUAUGGGCAACGGCUUAGCAUAAACCCCACUAGCUAAACUGCUAGGCUUCAGGUGUGCUGGUGAGCAACGGGAGGCCUUGGAAAAGGACCAAGCUCUUGGUGACUUAGGUCCCGGUUACGGCCCCGUGGAUGGGUUGCUAACCCCUUGAGCGCUCUUGUGUGGACUAGUCAGUGUUGGCUAAGGUGGGUAAUGGCUUUGUUAGGAUCCGUACCGACACUAAGGUGAUCGCGAUACGGUACCCUACUUGUGGGGAAAGUGUACAACCUCUGCAGAGUUAAAACCUAUCCGAGUAGCCGUGUCCACGGCAUUGGACGAGUUACGGCUCGGUCACACAACUAGCUUUUGAGGAUGACUGGUUUUGUACUGCGUGUGUGAGUGCGUGGAAUUUUGGAAGUGUCCGGCAAAUGUGCCGUGCGCUACGGCGGACGGGGAGUCCGGUAGCGGUAAAACUUGGAUCCUUUGUGUAGGAUCAACCCCACUUGAUAUAUAUUGCGUACUAAAAUGUUUUCAUGAAAUUUCUUUGAAAUGGAACCUUGCAUGUGUCUAAAAUUCAGCUUUACUGCAAAUAAACCCUAGCUUAUUUCCUUGAUUAUUCUUGUGCAUACUCUGUUGUAUCCCCCUCCGUGGAUGGGGUUGGACUUGCUGAGUACUUUUGUACUCACCCUUGUGUUGUUACUUCAGAGGAGGAUCCGGACUUCGUCGCCGAGGACUUCGAGUAGGAGGUUGCGUCUGCACCCAACGCUGCCUGUGGUGUUGGCCCUUUUGCAGGAUGCUUCCGCUGACGCUUAGCUCCGAUUGCAGCCCGGAGUCCGACUGGACUGCAACUUGGAUUUGUGUUGUUAUCGCUUUAGUCUUGCUUUGGGUGUGGCUUGCCCGCCCGCUCCUUCGGGAGCUGUACGGUUUCUGAACUAUCUGUUGAAUAAAUGUGUUAUCAGCCUCCUGGGACUGAUAAUUUGGUUCACAUUUAGUCUCUACUUAUGUGGGGACGCUUCAGAUCAGCAUAUCAUUGUCAAUGGAAGAAGAAGUUUGGAGCUCGUUGUGCAGCUAUGCAAGGUAGCGGCACUAGUAACUGCCAGGUCUGGAAAAAACUUUGGAAACUCCAAGUGCCGGGGAAAGUUAAAAUUUUUGGCUGGAGAGCUCUCCGAGGUUUCAUGCCGUGCAAUGCGAUCUUGGCAAACAGGCACGUCAUACCUGACGGUGGGUGCCCGGUGUGUCGCAAUGGUGCAGAAGAUAUAAAACAUCUGAUGUUCAUGUGUGAUCGAGCCAGAACAGUUUGGAGGUCCAUUGGCAUCUGGGAGAAAAUCAGAAUGUUUAUACAAACUGACCGAUCAGGUUCUAUUUUGAUUGAGAAUAUUAUUAACAGAGGUGAGCAGAUUCAUAGCCUGGAAGUGGGACUCGCUGAGCUUAUUUUGACUGGAGGAUGGUACCUGUGGUGGGAAAGACGGCAGCUAACGCAUGGUGAGGCGGUUCAGCCUCCAUCAAGAUCAGGCCUAGCUGUUGUUUCAUUAACAAAGAAUUAUAAGCUAGCUAUGAAGAAAGGCAUCAAGCUACGAGAAGGAUGGAAGAAGCCUAGUGAAGGGUAUAUUAUGCUGAAUAUUGAUGCUUCUUUUGACGAGGACAAGGGAUGUGGUAGUACGGGUGCAAUUAUCAGAGAUAGCUCUGGAGGGAUGAUUGCAGCUUCAAAUACUUUUAUCCCAUAUCUAGUUGAUGCACCAAUGGCUGAAGCUUUUGCUCUAAAGGAGGGACUAAUGUUAGCUCAACAUAUUGGGGGUAAUAAGCUGAUUGUUCAAACUGAUUGUAUGGAGGUCGUUGAGAUUAUGGAGAAUGCGGGAUUCACUGCGAAUUCAGCUGCUGCAGUUUACGAUGAAUGUAAUAUAGUUUGGAGUGGAUUUCAAGAGAUCUCCAUUGAGCACUUGAGUAGGGAAGCAAAUCAAGUGGCGCAUGAGCUAGCUAGACAUGCUAUGAUUUCUAGAGCAAAUUGUAUUUGGGACGAUGAUCCCCUAGUUUUAUUGUUCAGCUCCUAUCAAACGAUGUAACUAUAUUUGAUCAAUAAAGCUUGCCCAAGGGCUUUUAUCAAAAAAAAAAAGAGGAAAAGGCUGAGCUCACUUCUUCUGGAAUCCAAUCAGUCGGAUACGUCAACGGGUACAGUACGUCGCCAUGCAACGCUAGCAGAGCUAUCACCCACCCUAUGCCCUCCAUGCUUUUGGAGGACGAUGAGUCGACUCUACGGUAAAAAGAAUCGAACGCCUAGAAAUUAUACCCGGAGUCAAUAUCUACAAUGAGAUUCGUGCACAUCACCUGGACUUAUAUUUAGAUCUCCAUCAUAUUUUUUUUAACAAACCAAGCAGGAGAGCUGCCAAUUAUAUUAAUAAAAAAGAAGGAUCGAACUGGGCAAACAAUGAUCCCGUAGGGGUUGACAACGGAUCUCUAUCAUAUCAUUCUAGUCAUUUAACAAUGGUGGAUUAGUAUACAACCUCUCAAAAAUGGAGUACACUAUAGCUCCAUGUUUUGAUAGUGAGUCUCCUCUAUAAUGCACUAUAAAAAAAAAAGGAGUACACGAACAUUUCAUAAGAAGGACUCAACAAAAAAGAAGACGUAUAUUAGAGUAGUAAGAUAUUUUCUUCUAGUGGUGUGGAUCAUUCUGUAUUUGGUAAGACGAUCGCGACUUACCGGCAGCAGCAGGUGCAGCGCAUUGCAGGUACGCCGUACGCCCGUCCUCGGAUACGUACGGCCGACCAGAUUCCUGCGUGGCCCCGCAGGGAAGCAUUUGUACGGAAGGUCGCCGGCCGGCCGGCCAGCCCACGCGGAGCUUCCCGUUUCGUCCUCUCGGUGCGAGGUGAUCGGGGUGCCGGUCCACUUGCAGUGAGCGAGACGAUGAAAGUCAUCCGCCCAUCCGAGUGCGCAGAAAGAGUCAUGUGAUCUUACGUGGAAUCUUCUCUUGGUGGCGGUUUUGCUCUUCGACCCCCACGAUAAGCAGCGGCAUGCGAAUGAGGUCUGAUCCUCAUCUUCGUGGUUUUAUUUUGGUUCAUCUCACGGCUCCUCAAGGCCACUGCUACCGAGGAGAAUGGAUCGGUGAUUGUGCAAAGUAUCUUUGAUUUUUCUCAUAAUUUGAACCGAAUAUCUUAACCAAUGAGGCAUGAUCCUCAUCUUCGUGGUUUUAUUUUGGUUCAUCUCACGGCUCCUCAAGGCCACUGCUACCGAGGAGAAUGGAUCGGUGAUUGUGCCAAGUAUCUUUGAUUUUUCUCAUAAUUUGAACCGAAUAUCUUAACCAAUAACGUCACUAUGGUAUCACUCGGGCAUCUUUUAAAAGCAAAUCCUAUAAAAGAAUAAUGUAUCAGGUUGUUCUUUAUCAACGCUCAAUGAAACUAAUUGAUAACGAAAGCUGGCUUACGACAGGAUGGUUAGAAUUUUGGGCGUAUAGCCAGGGCCACCCCCUCCAGGGUUCAAAGUUCAUGGCUCGAUACCGGUGUUGGUGUUUAUCGAUUUUAGGAGUACAAUUAUAGAGUGAAAGUGCAUACACAUGUUUAAUUUACAUUAGGUCUUGUGCGUAUUAAAUUAAUCUCUAGAGAUGUGCAUUUGUGCAUGUGAUGGUGCACAUCAGUACAUGUGUUUAGCGUGUCCAUCUUCAAUGUACUUUUAAGAAAACCAAUAAAUACUUGGACGAUGGGGCUGCUUGGUCCGUUCGCCACGCCACAGCUUGCGACCGUCAUAAAAAGCUAGGUUAGUGUUGCUUUCUGACAAAACGUUGCGGUGCGCCAUAGCAAAACUGCUCAGCUAUAGUUCAUUUUCACGCCACGGUUGUGGCGUCGGAUUUUGACGCCGCAACUUCGACGGUGGCGCAUGUGUGGUGUGGCUACUCAUGGCCGGCAACAAAGCAGGUCAAUGUAACUAAUUAAUACUUUGAUCUCUUCAAUAAUUGAUGAUAACUUUUAGCAUAUGUAUACCAAAGAGAUUUUCUAAUUUGGAGUAAUAGAUGCCUAACUUGGAAGAAGCAAAGUGAUAAGCUAGGUAUAAAGACCACCUAAACGAUGAAUAAGCGAGGACAAAAGAUUACUUCGGGCUGCGUUAUUUGAACGUGGAGAAAAAAAGAAAGAUGAGGACCAAAAUGAGCUAAAAGUACGGAUUUUACUGAAUAAUUAGAGGAUCCUAAAUCCCUCAGCUUAUUUUGAUCAGAAAUUUUUUUUCUAACAUAUGGUCGGACCACCGUAACAUUUUCACUCGUAUCUAUUAUAUUACAUCUGCGACUACUGCCUCACGAACCACCUCAACCAACCCCUUCCCCCUCAUCCCUCCCCGCCAUCCUCCAUCUCCAUUAAAGAAACAAAUUUACCACCCUCCUCUCUUCGCAAAUAUCACUAUCCUCCGGUGACCAUUCCGGAUCCGGUCAUCCCCCUUCCUUGAAAUCCACAACGCCCGGGCCCACACGUCAGUCUCCUCCACUGACACUUCCUCUCUCCUUCCUUCAACCGGCCACCAUUAACAACUCCUCUGUGCUUCGUCUGCAGCAAAGACAAAGCUUCCUCCUCCGUCUCCUCUCCUCUCCCUUCCCAUUCUCUCUCCACCCACCUCCCACGCCGCGCCGCCACUGCCGCAAGCUGCAAGCAUCUUCCUCCUCUUCCCCGCCGCUGCCGGCCAACGCUCGCUCGCCGUCGCCCCAAGCCAACCAGCAAUCCUCGCUAGCUUCGCUAGUCGGCGCCCAAGGAGCUUCCCGGCGCGCGCUCCCCACAACCAGCUCGACCGGCGGGAUCGGAUCUCGACCGUCGUCGCCCCGCGAGAUGAGCCACGACGACCCCGGCAGCUCCUCCGCCGGCGCCGGCGCGGGCGUGGACGCGCUGUCGCUGGACCUGCUCGCGCACGCGCUGGCGGGCGUGCGCGACCCGCGUGACCGCAAGUCCUGCCGCCUCGCCGCGAGCGCACCUUCGCGCGAGCCGAGGCCGCGUCGCGCCGGUCGGCGCGCCCGCUCCGCCGCGAGGUGCUGCCCCGCGUCCUCCGCGCCUUCCCGGCGCUCGACGCGCUCGACCUCUCCGCGUGCGCGGGGCUCGACGACGCCUCCCUCGCCGCCGCGCUGCCGCCCGGCGCCGGCGGCGAGCUGGGCGUGCGGCGGGUGCGGCUGGCGCGGGCGAGCGGCGUUGGGUGGCGCGGCCUGGAGGCUAUGGUGGCGGCGUGCCCGAGGCUGGAGGCCGUCGACCUGUCCCACCGCGUCGCCGCUGGGGACAGGGAGAUGGCCGCCCUCGCCGCUGCCGCGGGGCUCAGGGAGCUCGUCAUGGACAAGUGCCUCGGCGUCACCGACGUCGGGCUCGCCAAGGUCGCUGUCGGGUGCCCCGGGCUGGAGAAGCUCAGCGUCAAGUGGUACCGUGAGAUCUCCGACAUUGGCAUCGAGCUGCUCGCCAAGAAGUGCCCCGAGCUUCGCAGCGUUGACAUCUCCUGCCUCAAGGUAGCAUCCCUGAAAUUCGUAUCAAUCUCUUUGGUCAGUAGUAGGAUUGGUCUGAAGCCUCUGAUGGAUUCAAUUGAAAAUGAUUGUGACUUGACCUGUCGAGAAUUCAGAAGUGUUGAAACAUAUGUGAACUGACUAGAAUGGGGGACAAAUGUGGCAUGUUAGUAGGAUGCUGUUUCCUUAAAAACAUUAAGAUUCUUCUUAGAGUUUAAUAGUUUAUGAGAUUGUUCCCUUGCCAACAUAGAUGCUAUUUUGCGUGUGCGAAUCAAGUGAGCUGGAAAGAUUCAAUUACUUGCUGGUACAGUGUUUGGUUAAAAAUCGAAUGCUUGUUCAAAUGGAAAAUGGUGUUCCAAAAAAUGGUAGCUUGAGACAAUGUGAUUAGAAGUUCUGUAAUCUGGAAUGUUUAGCAUCUUCAUAUUGCUCAGUCAAUGUUUACCAUGCAUUUUGACUUCAGAUAGAAUAAAGAUUCAGUUGAACUUAAUGGGGCACCAUUGACUUCAGAUAGAAUAAAGAUUCAGUUGAACUUAAUGGGGCACCAUUGACAUGCAUAUUCCUGCUAUCUAGUUUACAAUGGAUACAUAUGGCUCGAUGAAUUCUCAUUGUUUCUUACUAUGAAAAUCCAAGAAUGCUCCAAUUUCUUGUCUCUUGUUUUGCAGGUGAGCAAUGAAUCCCUUAGAUCACUCUCCACUCUCGAGAAGUUGGAGGACAUAACAAUGGUCUGCUGCUUGUUGGUAGACGAUGAUGGCCUACUGAUGCUAAGCGCAGGCAACUCGCUGAAGGUAAUCACCUUGCAGGAAUGCCAAUCUUGUAUGGAUUCACUUUGUAUACUAUGAUGUGAACUUUCUUUGAUACCUUUGUGCUUACUGCAUUUUUCAACCUCAUCUGUUCCAGAGUAUUGAUGUAUCGAGGUGUCCCCAUGUGACUUCUGAAGGCUUAGCUUCACUUAUAGUCAGUCAAAGAUUUAUCCAAAAAAUCAAUGCUGGACACAGUUUGCAUGUGAGUAGAGUUCCUUUGCUCGUUUUGCGCUUUUGAGAACUCACGAUGCAAAUGAAUGCCAUUUCGCAGUCAAAUUCACACUGCCAGUGGUUGUUCACCUUCUGCUUUACACUUGCAGGAGAUAGAGACUUGCUUUCUAUCCAAGUUAUCAACAAUAUGCGAGACUUUGACUGUUUUAAGACUCGAUGGCCUUGAAAUUUUUGCCUCAAAUCUACAGUCCAUCGGUGACAGCUGCAAAAACCUGGUUGAAAUUGGGCUCAGCAAAUGCAAUGGCAUUACAGAUGAGAUGGUAUAGCUUCACUUGUAGUCAACUGCGGCUACCUAAGGACUAUCGACGUUACUUGCUGCCAUCUUGUUACCAAUGAUGCCCUUGCGUUUAGCUUUGUCUGUCAUAUUUUACGACAUCUUAGUGUCUUACCAGCUGGCAUUGAUCAAAUCUGCAUCCUUUGAUGUUUAGGUUCCAUGGGGGAAGAACGUCAUUCUUGUGGGAGGGAAAAGUGACCCGCCUUAUGACAAGAUAUCAGGUUUGUCUGCGCUAUUUAAUUUUCUAAACCGCAUCUAUUUGUUUUAUUUAUCUGAUUCUCUGCCAAACUUCCAACAGAGACAGUUAGGAAUUCAUCAUUUGUUUUACUGCAGUAUGGACCUUCAAUACAGAAACUGAGCUCUGGUCACAUAUGGAAACCAAGGGUGAUAUUCCGGUAAAAAUCUGAACUUAUAUUUCAACACUCCUUUCGUUAAUGACGCUAGAUGGCUUGCUUCCAGUCUUAAAAAAAAAGUGUAGGCACACAAGGAGCUGGCCCUUUUUCUUUUAUUUUUCAUUAGAAAGAAAACGAAAAUACGAAACUAAAAGAAAGUGCUAGUGCACACAAGAGUCAUUGGACCUGAAACAAGAACAACUGCACCAAAAGAAUUCAACAGGUAUUCAAUAAAAUCCUCUGCUGAGGGAGCAAUUUGUUUUUAAUAAAAAAAUAAUUUCUUUCAGGCUCGGCCAUGUUCUCCAUUAUCAUGUGUUUGUUUGGCAAUCGAGAGUUGAAAAUUAUAAACUAACACUAGGGUGCAUAAGCAAUAUGAAUGAUGCAAUGUGACAAGUGUACAUCUAUCAGCUGCUGUUAUGCAAGCCAGAACAGUAAGUGCAUGUUGACAUCAAAUUAUCUGAAUGCGUUGAGAGUUAGAAUCUAAACCUUACUAACAUUUUUUGUAUUUCCUUAGAUAUAUUUCUGUGAUCCCGUGGAGUGCAUAACCUGAUCACAGAAAUGAGAGCAUGACAAGUUGUAAUUGCUCUGUGUGCAGAUGUCUAGACCAUCUAUUAUUCUUAAGCUCAUUUUGGGGCUGAUUUGGAGCAUCAUCCACUUGGCAAUCAAGCUUUUUAAUUUAUGGUCUCUUCUGAUUUAUAAUCUAGAAUGAUAUAUUAUUUCGUCUAGGUUGCUGAGGAAGUAUCAGUACCUCCACCUGGAUCGACUGAAGUACUUGGGGCUCGGGGACGCCGACAUGGAGCCCAGCAGGUGCACGCUGCACCGGUUCGGCAACACCAGCAGCAGCUCGCCUACGCCGAGGCUAAGGGCCGCGUCCGGCGCGGCCACCGCGUGUGGCAGAUCGGGUUCGGCUCCGGGUUCAAGUGCAACAGCACCGUCUGGCGCGCGCUCCGCGACGUGGCGCCCGUGCCCGCCGACGGCACCGGCGGCGGCAGCUGCAACCCGUGGGUGGACAGCAUUCAGAACUACCCGCCGAAAGCAUACAUCUGACGUCAUAUUCUUUGUGACUGAAUCGGUCACACCGUUGGAUCGGUUGCAGCUGCACAAGAACUGUAUGAUAAAAAGAACACACAAGGCUAUAAUUUUCUUUCGUUUCUUGAUCAGGUAGGAGCUGCUGAAUCUUCUGCUACCUGUAGUGCAUUGAAGACAAGGGUGGCGUUACACAAUGUCUAUAAAUACUGUGCUGUGGUUGGUGAAUAGUUAGGAUAAUGAUGUGUGGAGAUCGCUGGACUGCUGCCUUUCUCAUUAAGUAGAUGGAGACAUCAGAUCAGAAGUGCCG